rnacentral:lncRNA from 1 species
AUAAAUUAAGGGCAAAUCUCCAAAAUAGCACAUUUCUAAGUUUAUAUCACAAAAAUAGCACUUAAAAACUAAAAUGACCAAAAUAGCACAUUUUUAAGUUUAUCCUUUGAAAAUUUUAAUUUUUUUAUUUUUCAAAAUUUGAAAUCUUAUCCCCAAAACCUCAUUUCUCAACUCUAAACCCUAAACUCUAAACCCUAAACCCUAAACCCUAAACCCUAAACCCUAAACCCUAAACUCUAAAUCCUAAACCCUAAACUCUAAAUCUUAAACCCUAAACUCUAAAUUUGUGACUUUUGAUAAAACAUUAAGUGCUAUUUUUGUGACUUUUGACCUUAAGUGCUAGUUUGGAACAAAAACUUAAUUUAUUGCUAUUUUUGUCUUUUUCUCAUAAAUUAAUGGAAAAAUAGUUUUUUUUGGAACAAAAAAUGGUAACAUGUCUCAUUAAUGGACUUAAAAGAUGGUAACUAUUAUCUCGCACGUCUCUGUUAAUGGACAUAUAAAAGAAUAAACCGACCAUGUUUGAGAAUAAAAAGGGCGGGGGGAUCAUCCGUUUUCGAAAUCAGUCAGAAACCCUAAAACUAGUCUCGUCUCUCAUCCGUCGCAUAAACCCUAGGUUCUCUGUGGAAAUAAUAUGGAAUUAUGGAGUGGAAUGAGAAGACUCUUGAGUUCCUUUCUCAAAGAUUUCUGGACACACUCUCUCCGAACCCGGAGGCUCGUCGUGAUGCUGAGAGAUUGCUAUUUGUAGCCGCCAAGCAGUCAAACUACGGCUUAGCCGUCCUCCGUCUGAUUGCGGAGCCCUCAAUUGAUGAGCAGACUCGCCAAGCCGCCGCCUUCAACUUUAAGAAUCAUAUCUGUUCACGGUGGCUUCCUUGUGCUGCUGAUUCUGGUAUCUCACCGAUCAGGGAUUCCGAGAAGGAGCAGAUCAAUACACUCAUCUUCCCCCUUACGCUUUCUUCUUCCCGUCUGAUCCAGACCCAUCUCAAUGAAGCCCUAGCCAUCAUAUGUAAGCACAAUUUGCCUGCUGCUUGGCUUCCUGAGCUUACAUCCAUCCAGCCUUCACAAAGCUGCUCUUGCCGGUCAUUACGCCUCCGUCAAUGGUAUUCUCCGUGUGGCUAAUACUAUUUUCAACAACUUUAGGCAUCAUCAGGAGGGGUUCCUUGAGAUUUUCGCUCCUCUGUUGCAAGAACUUUUCCUCAAAACAGAUUCUUUGAUUAAUUGCUCUGCUGGUGGAUCAGCAGCUAUGCUUACGCCUCUCCUCGAGUCCCAAAGUCUUUGCUGCAGAAUAUUUUUCUACUUGAACUUUCAGGAGUUGCCUGAGUUUUUCAAGGAUCAUAUGAACGAGUGGAUGGGAGUGUUUAACAAGUGUUUAUCUUGCAAUUACCCAUCUUUGGAAAGCACAGCAGAUGGGUUAGAGCUCGUGGAUGAUCUUCGUUGUGCUGUUUGUGACAACAUUAACCUGUACAUGGACAAGUACGAAGAAGAAUUCCAACGAUUCGUGGAGGGUUUUGCAUUAGCGGUUUGUACACUACUCCGAGAGGUUUCAAAGUCUCCCAUCAGGGAUCAACUAGCUACUAGAGCAAUCAAUUUUUUGACCACUGUCAGCACCACAAGUGCGCAUCAUGCUUUGUUUGCAGUUGCAGGCGACAAUGGGAUCAGUGAUAUCUGCCAAAGUAGUGUGAUUCCCAAUCUUUCUUUGAGGGAGAAAGAUAAACAACUGUUCGAGAUGGACUUUAUGGAGUUUAUCCGUCGAGACAUGGAUGGAAAUACUCGGAGGAGAAUCGCUUGUGAGCUGCUCAAAGGACUCGCCACAUAUUACAAACCACAAGUGACACAAGUAGUUUCUCAUGAGAUACAUAAGCUCUUGAGUUCCUUUGCAACAAAUCCCGCUGCACAGUGGAAAGAUAAGGAUUGUGCAAUUUACUUGGUCCUGUCUCUGGCUACUAAUAAGAAGGGUGCGUAUGUGCGUACAGAUUUUUUUGAUGUUCAAAGCUUCUUUGCAAACUUUAUAAUCCCCGAGUUGCAAAGCCCCGAUGUCAACAGUUAUCCAAUGCUAAAGGCAGGGUCCUUGAAGUUCUUAACAAUGUUCCGUAGUCAUCUACCAAAGCCCUUUGCAAUGCAGCUGUUCCCGGAGCUGGUCCGGUUCCUUCAAGCUGAGUCGAAGGUGGUGCACUCAUAUGCUGCUAUGUACAUAGAGAAGCUCUUGCUACUCAAGGACGAAGGUGGAAGGAGCAGGUAUGUCGGUAGUGAUAUAAGUCCAUUUUUGCUCCAGUUGAUGACGUCUCUGUUUGAUGCACUGAAUCUUAGUGAAUCUGAAGAGAAUCAAUAUAUUAUCAAGUGCAUAAUGCGGGUUCUUGGUGUUGCGGAAAUCACUCGGGAGGUUGUUGACCUUUGCUUGGGAGGCUUGACCACUGUUUUCAGUAGAAAUCCUAAGAACCCUACAUUUAAUCACUACAUCUUUGAGUCCGUGGCUGUGCUUGUCCGAAGGGCAUGUGAACGUGAUAUUUCGCUAAUUACUGAAUUUGACUCGAGUCUUUUCCCAAGGCUGAAGAUGAUUUUGGCGGAUGAUGUUCGCGAGUUCAUACCUUAUGCGUUUCAGCUUCUGGCUCAGCUCGUUGAGCUCAACAUACAACCUAUUUCACCGGACUAUAUGGAGAUGUUCUUGCUUCUCAUCGCACCUAAUCCUACUAAUUCGUGGAGGAGUAGCCACGAAGUCCCAGCACUGGUGCGUUUGCUUCAGGCUUUCCUGCAGAAAGCACCUCAUGAGGUUACUCAAAAGAAUCUGUUGGGUCAAGUGUUGGGGGUGUUCGACAAGUUGGUUAAAACUCCUAGCACAGUAGAGCAAGGCUGUUAUGUGCUCAACACUGUUAUUGAGUAUAUGGAGUACGGUGUGAUUGCACCAUACAUGACGUUUGUAUGGAGUUCUCUGUUCACACACCUUGAGCAGAAAAAGUCUGUCAAGCUCCAGAAAUGUCUAGUAAUGUUCAUAUCCCUCUUCUUGGUGAAGCACGGACCAGCUAAUCUAGUCGAAACUAUGAAUGCUGUUCAACGCAACAUUUUCAUUGCGAUCGUGGACCGUUUCUGGAUUCCAGACCUUAAGCUGAUCAUGGGAACUAUGGAGGUAAAGUUAACCGCAGUUGCCGCGACAAGACUCAUAUGUGAGACUCCAGCCCUUCUCGAUCCAGCAGCUUCUAAGUUAUGGGGGGGAAUGGUGAAUAGUAUAGUGACUCUUGUUUCAAGGCCUGAGCAGGAAAGAGCCAUCGAUGAACCUGAGAUGCCAGAAAUAUCAGAGAACGUUGGAUACACAGCUGCUACCUUUGUGAAUCUUUACAAUGUUGGGAGAAGAGAAGUGGAUCCUCUCCAAGACAUUACAGAUCCAAAGCAGCUCUUCGUGACUUCUCUGGCCAUGCUUUCUGCUUCUCAUCCUGGUAGAUACCCUUGGGUUAUUCGUUAUAAUCUCGAAAAAGCAAAUCAAGAUGCAUUGAUCAAGCUUUGCACUGCUUACAACUGUGCAAUUGUUUGAAAGUAAGUGGGUUUCCUCUACUUUUGAGAAUGUUUUAAAAUGUGAUUGUAACAGGAGAGAUUGGUGUGAGGAGAAAAGAGGAGGAAAUACACAACAACGUUGCAUUGCGUCUGCGAAGAAAAGUGGUAGUAAAAUCAUGUUUUCUUUCUGUCUUCAUUCGGGUGUUUCAUAUCAUUCGGAGUCAGAGAGCAUCAUUCAUGCAUAACUUAAAUUUCUUUGUUUGGUUUUGAAGUUUUCUUCAUGGGGGUGGGUUGUUUUUUUUUUUUUUUUUUUAUCUCUUGUAUUGUGUUACAAUUUACAAUGUGUUUAUUUAUGUCUUUGUCUGCUGGUCACUUUUUUUCUUUUUUUAUUUGGGAAAAUUAUCAUUUAAAUCUCCAACUUUCCAAUUUGGUUGGAGAAAGUCACGAAACUUUGCCUUGGACCAUUUAAAUCAUCAAUUUAGCUUAAUUUAGCUUGAAUAACCAUUUUAUACUUUAAUUUAAUUUGAUUAAACUAAAUUAAAGACAACGUUAAUUCGGAUAACAGAUUGAUUUAACAUAGUUAAUGAGACAUAUUUUGAUUGUUUGAUGUGUUAAAAUGAUACAUACUUUGAUUGUUUUGUUACCACCACCACAACCAAAAUGAUUAUAUCAAACCAUCAUCUACAAACUGAUCAAAGAAGCUAAUUUUUUUUUGCAUCCAGAGUCACAAGGUCCCGCUCAACCUUUUUAUUUCAUAUGUUAGUGUAAUUACUUCCUGUAAAAAUGUUUUUAUGUUGUUACUUUCUCUUUGUUCCAAAUAUAAAAGUUACUUUCUUUUGCUUCAAAUUUUAUUCCCUUUUCUAUGUGGUUUUUCGCUAUUAAUUUAACAUGUCAAUCUAUGUAUCAUGGAUGCUGAAAAGUGUCCAUAUAUAUAUAUUGGAACACAAAUGCCCAUAUAUUAUGUAUCAGUUUAUGGGACUUAAAUCCAUAACCAAAACGUUAUUUAUUAAUGAUGCAAGUAAUAGUUAUUUAUAUUAAAAAAGAUGUUGCCAUUUUUCUUGGAUUAUAUUUUGUUUCAUUAAUGUUUUUCCCUAAACAAGAAAACAAUACACAAUCGUGCAAGUUGACACAUAUUCUAUCUACAACCACUUAAAUAAAUAUGACAUGAAUACUAGAAAUGAUGAAUGACUUAUAGCUAAAUAUGACAUGUACAGUUAUAUUUAAUGUUUAUGCAUAUUUUUAGUAAUUUUUUAGAAUAUUAUAGUAAAUGAUACAUUAUCAUUAAAGUAAAUCUAUUCAAAUAUGACACUGAAUAAUAUAAUAAUAAUAAUAUAAUAAUAUUUUACAAAUUUUGAAAUAUUAUUUAUUUGUGUUUUAUAAUUAUACACAUUACUUAAAUAGAUUUUCAAUUAUUUUUAAAUUCCUAAAAAAAUUAUAACUUUUUAAUCCUAAUAUCAUUAGUUUAUUUUAUAUAUCUAAAACUUUUAUAAAGAUUUUUUAGUUUUACUUUUUGAUAAUUAUACAAGUUAUAUAUCAAAUUUUGUUUUAUUAAUUUAUACAAGUUGAUUUAAUAUAUUUUAUCCAAAAGAAAUAGAUAAAAAACCUAUCUAAGAUUAUAACUGUGAAUAUACACAUAUUUAUUCUUAAAUAUAAUUUAAAAUAAACAAAAUUAUUUAUUUAUCUUAAUUAAAUACUCAAUUAAAUCGAAUUUAAAAUAUGGAUAAGAAAAUAAUAAAAUCUAAAAUAAUAAUUAAAAUUUUAUUUUAAAUUUAAUUUUAAUUUAAUUAAUUUAAUUUUAAUUUUUUUAUUACUGCACAUGGUUCUGGAAAAUAACUAUUUUAUUUUAGAAAGAUUAUCUUAUAAGUUAUUAGUUUAUAAGAAUCUAAUAAUAGAUCCAUUCUAGAACAAAAAUAGUUUAAUAAAAAUAAAUUCGACUGGUUUUGACCAAAAAUAAAUAAAUAAUUCCCUUUGAGUUUUGGUCAGAUAGUUUUGUUUUUGUAAUCUUCUGGUCAGAUAGUUUUGAACAUAAAUAAGACAAACUCAACUCAAAACUUAGAUUGGUCAUCUUUUUGAGCAACUUAAUUCAAAUUAGAAAUUAGGACCAGACCCAGUUGGAGUUUAUGUUACAAAGGAAAAGAAACAGAAAAACAAAGAACGCGGUAGGGUUUUGAUAUCCGAAAGAACUCCGUGGAGAUUCUUCGGUUUUUCCUUCGAAACGAUAGCUCUGGCGAGCCCGAAGGAGUCUGAUCGGAUCCAGACUUUUGUGUAUCCAAGAUGAAUCGCGUGGGAUAAGGCCGGACGUAUCGCCAAUCCCUCCGCGAGGAGUGGUGAUUUCACAUCUGAUUGAUCUUGAAAACCAUGCUUGGCAUCAAGGCGCUGUCUCCUUUGUUGAUGGAUUCCAGGCAGCGUCCGUGUUACAAAGAACGGUCCCUAUACAAAGAUCGUAUCGGAGCUGUUGACUGAUCGUUUGUAGGUUUUGAGUCUGAUUGCGCCGAUGACCAUUCCUUAGCACUUGCUACCGCCUUUGUGAUCACCAUCAAAGGAGAUGUGUGUCUAGAUUUGAAUAGGAGUUGGUUGCGAGCGUUCCAAAUUAUCCAGAUUAUCCAGGAGAAGAUGUCGCCAGUGAUACCCGUUGGUGGUAAGCAACUCCACUUUGCCGAUUCUUUUAGAGCUUCCAGGAAGGAAGAACAUGUCAUAGAGCAGAAGGGCGUGAAGAGAGGAGCUAGGUCCCAGACCUGAGAGGCGAAGGAGCGAUGGAGAAAGAGGUGAUCAAUAGAUUUGGUUCUUCCGCAGAAAGCGCAGCUCGUAUUUUGGAUCACUCCGCGUUUUUGAAGAUUGUCUCCGCGUCUUAGAUUGGUCAUCUUUAGUUACAUUUUAAAAGUUUAAUUGUUUCUUUGUUUGUUGCCGAGUUUUGUCCAAAUAACUUUUCCGAUUGUAACUGUUCGGAUCCUGGGUUUAAUUUGAGGUAACUUGUCGUUAGCUGUGGACUCAUAAUGAUAAUGGGCAAUUUUUAUAUACUAAUUUCAACUUGUCUUGAUAUAUUUGACCAAUGUGUUUGAUUGUUUCACAAGCGACAAACUAAACAGUUUAAAUUUGCUAAAUCAAAAUGGUUAUAUAAUUAAAUUCUUCUUUUUAACAUGCGGUUGAAAUUACUCUUUUUGGUUACAAUGAUUACCUUAUUUUAUUUCAUAGUGUCUAGUGAUGAAACCAUGGUUCUAUGUUAUUUUAUUUCAAAUGGUAUAUAAAAAUCAUGAGCUACAUGUUCCAACAAUUAUAUAUUUAAUAUAAGCACAUAAAUUAGUGUGUAUAUAUGCUUAGCAAGACGACAAAAGCUUAGAACCAAAAAAAGCUGAGAAUAGUGUUAAAUCCAAAUAAUUAGAUAACAUGACCAAUUAGCUUACAAAGGAUCAUUGUUUUACUGUAAAAGUACCAGCUAGCAGCUACUAUCUUUUUUUUUUUUGUCAUUUGGUAUUAUUACUAUAAACAAGUUCAUAUGAUACAAAAUGCCCAAAAAAGGGUAAACACUUAAGACUAGGCCCAAAGAGAUGGGCUACAAGUAAACAUCACAAAGCCUAAAAAGGCCCAACUAACUAAGAUUGCACUCUGGAGGAGGAAACGCCAUUUGUUGAGCCCACGUGCUCGAACCAGAGAAAGAAGGAGACACGCGUCGACCGAGGAACCCGCUUCCAACCUCCGCCGCAACGGAGCUUCAAGCCGGAACUCUGUACCACCGGAGACCAAUCUCAUCAGAGCAGAGCAACUACCAGCAUAACUCACCGCGACCGAGUGAACCACCGAGACAAUCCUUUCGCCGAUUGAAAAACGUAUGAUUUAACUAAAACCAACACGAUCUUAACAAGAGGGUUUGGUUGAAAGAUAUUCGCAUCAACCGAAACAGAACCAUAUAAGUGAGGAUCAAAAAAAAAAAAAAAGGAAAACUGGAAAGAUCCGGUGAAAAGCUAGCCGUUUUCAUCUAAGAGGAUCGAUGACAAACGCUAGAGGCAGUAGCCGGCCAAGCGGCGCUCAGGUAGCCACCGCUUGCCAGAGUCAAAGCCCGACGACGCGAGAGACGAUUGCCGGAGAAACACAUCCGGCGAACUGAAGAGUCGAACCCUCUCUCUCUGAAAGAUAAGAAAGAGAUCACUAGCAGCUUCUAUCUAAAUACGAACAUAGAGUAAAUGUGGGUAAUUUCACUAUCUCUGUGAAACAUAGAGUAAGAAUACAUCUUUAAGAAUAUAUCAGCACUUAGUCAAAAUAAAGAUUAUAUCAGCACAUGCAGAGUUAUAUACAUAUAUAUAUAUAUAUGAUAUUUAAAAACAAGUUUGGUUCGGUUUGAUUUUAGAUAAAAUUACUAUUUAAAAUUACAAAAUAGUAAUUUUUUAUUUAAUACUGUAAGCUACAACAUUGUAAAAAUAUUAAUUUGAACAUUUUAAUUUAGUUAAUUUUUAUUAUUAUUAUUUUAUUUUAUAUUAUUAAAAUUAGGUCAUUCAAUUAGUGUUAUCUAAUAUAUAAAUUUAUAUUUUAUUUAGAUUAUAUUAUAAUCAACUAAAUUCGGAAAUAUCAAUUUAUGUUUAAUUUUUAUUUGCUUAUAAAUUUCCCCUGCCGUAAAUAUAAACACUAAUAAGCAUGAAAAUAAACACAACGUUUUUAACAUGGAUGACAAUGAGACCGAAAACCAUUGACUUAGUUUUAGUUUAAAGUACCAUUGAAUUAAAAGCGUUUUCACUUUAAAGAGGAUUUUAAUAGUGUGUAAAAAAGUUAAGGUAAAAAACAGCAAGAGGGAUGUCUCCAUAUCAAAGUGGUUGCGAGUUGCGACGAGUCCUAGUUUGGUAUGCCAAAUUUGCUCAAAUUAGAGGUAUGUGUUCGAUUAUAUAUUUUAUUUAAUUUAAAUUCAUAUAAAACUUAAUAAAAUUAAUGAUUCACAAAUUUACAAAAUGAAUUUUAAUGAGUAUUUGUAAAUUCGUAAGUCUUUUCAGAUUUAUGUCUUUGCUGUUAAUAUGCAAAUAUUUUAAACUUCAUUAAAAUAUAUUGUGAAAUCAUAUCCAUAACUAUCUAAAUCAGUAGAAUUGAAUAAUACCGAUUUUAAAUAGUAUUUACUAAAUGAAUAAUAGAUAACUUUUAACAAUUUUUAAAAAAAAAUUAUUAAUAAAUAACACAAUUUUCUGGAUUCAAAUUCAUUAAAAUACAAUAGUUAAUAACUCCCAUUUAUAUUUUCUAUGUUAGUUUUGUUGAAAGCCUUGCUCAUAUAAAUAAACAGUUAAGUUCUUUUUUCAAUAGUAUGUCCUUUGUCUUACAAAAGUCCCUGUAUAUAUGUAUAUAUCUACCUAAAGUGUCUAUACUUACUUAACAAAACAACCCGAUUAAUGAAUUAAGUUUUCUAAGCAAAAUUUGUUUUUUUUUUCUUUUGGGUCAAACAACUUUGUUAGGUAAUCAGAGCCGUGCGAAGGUUUAAUGGGGCCUGAGGCGAAUAUAAAAAUGGGGCCCCUUUAUAAAUUUUUUUUAUCAUAGUACAAUAUAUAUUUGAAAAAAAAAUAUUAAGACAAUAACUUUAAAAAAUUAAGACAAAAUUUUUCUUCCCUCUUUUUCAAUAAACUCUUCAGUAACAUCAUCUUCAACCUCCUUAUCUUCUUCAUUGACAUCCUCAUCAUUUAUUUCAUUCUCAUCUUCCAUUGGAUCAUCAAACUCAUCACCACUUCUACCGGAUUCAUUAAGAUUUGCUGAUUUUACAAGAAAUCUGUCCAUAGAACCUUGCAUUGAUUUCACCAAUGCAUCAACUCUGUCUUUUUUUUGUCUUUUCUUGGCUCCUGAUGCACAUGAUCUCGUUGGAGGCAUAUUUUCUGAAAUUAAUAAUUAAACUUAAAUCAACAAAGACUGAAAACUAAAAAAAUAAAAAAAUAAAAAAAUUCACCACUUUAACAAAACUGAUGAUAAUAUAAGAGACACCUGUAGCACAGGAUUGAGAACCAAGAAAGAAGACGUGUGUGCUUGCUUGAGAAAGAUUGAUGUGAACAUUGCACGUAGAAUACUUAGGAAUAUAUACGAACCAAAUAUAUUAAGUAUAACUGCACUUUUUCCUUUUUAUUUAGGAGUUUGACAUAUAAAAUAUAUAUUCUUUUUUUCAAUUUGGAAAAUUGACAAUAAAAUAAAAUACUCAUUUUUUUAAAAAGCAAUGUAGAUAAUUGAACUUGUAUUGAAUAAUAAAUGGCAAACUUAAACCAAUAUACUACUAAUAAUUUUUGGAAAUUUGGAGCUCUAAAAAAACUAUAUAUUUUGGGGGCCCUAGGCGAAGGCCUUUUUGGAUACACUUGAAGCACGGCUCUGUAGGUAAUGUUGGUGUGUGUACAGAUUAUUGAGAUGAGAGUGAUUGAUGCCUUAUUUACCGAUCUGAUGAGCCCAUUGCUUGCAGGAUAAGAGAAUAAUUUACGAAAUGGGACAAUUUUCCGUUAACCCAAACAGUUUGGGCCAAUAAGAGAUCCAAUCAUAUGUGUCCACUCUGUCCUAUGGCUCAUCGGUACUUGUAAAUAGGGAUGGGUGUUCGGAUAUCCGUUCGGGUUCGGAUCGGGUAUUUCGGAUAUAACCGAAAAAACAAAAGCAUUUGAUAAUUUUUUUUUGAACUACUGAUUAAAAAAAAAUUAAAACCAUAUAAUUUUUGCAAAACAAAAACUGUUCAUUCUCAUGCUUUUGUUCUGUAAUAUGAUUCAGAGUAACAAGGAAAGCUCCAUAUGAAGAACGGCAUGAUGGUUCGAGGUGAUUCCGGUUGUUACAUUAACGUUUAUGUGGUUAUCGUUGAUGACAUCAACAACUAAUGUCUCCGACAAAUCUUACAUAGAUUGUGAGAAGAACAAUAUUUUAAGAAGAAAGAUCUUAUAGGGAGAGAAGAUGAGAAAUGAGAGAUGCAGAUGGUGCUUUAAUCUCCCACGUUUAAGAAAAAGAUACAUAUUUAUAUAUAUGUGCACAUGUUUAGGUUAGAAAAAAUAGUGAUUUGGUAUUGAUUUUACAAAAUCUUAAUUAAACUAAAACGUGUUAAGAGAAACCAGUCAUUACAUAUUGGAUGAAAGCUGUAGAUUUGGGUUAAAGUAUACAUAUGUUCGGAUGACUUCGGAUAGUACUUCGGGUUUCAGAUAUACCCGAUCGGAUUCGGGUAUCCAAACUUGUUUAAUACAAUGCCCCUUCGAGUAUUUUGCUAUUUCGGUUCGGAUUCGAGUUUGAUUUUUUUGGGUCGGAUUGGAAUUCAGGUUCGGGUAUCGGAUAAGAUGCCAACCCUACUUGUAGGGGUAAAAUGUGGAUACCUGACCUAAGUGGGACCCAUCAUCAUAUCCCUUCAUUAUAUAUUCCUUUUGUCUUUCAACUAAAUUCCUUUUUGUUAACAAACUGAAUGAUUAUCAGGUUUUUACUUGGGUGAAUUUGCCAUCUAACCAAGUUUGGAGUCAAAAUUAAGUAAAUAGCUUUGAUUUUGACGUUAUUAAAUUGAUAACAUUUCAUACACCUUUUAUCCGGUUAUGUCUUUAUCCUUUCUAAGUUACCGAUGACAGUGGGACCAAAGAUUAACGUCGACGAGAGCAGAGGUCCAAGAGAAAUUGAGAUUUAAUAUGGUCCACAACUAUUCUAAGUAAGUGUUCUAUUCCAUUUAUAAAAGUAAUACGUCAGAUAGAACAAACAGAACAUCUUCGUACGAAACAGAAUCAUAAACUCUAAACCUAACCUGCAGACCUAAAUACUAAACCAUAAUCUCGAAGCUCUAAACCCAAGCCCAAUUAAUUUAAAGUUACAAUAUUUUAAAGAAAAUAGUAAAAAAUAAUAAAUAUAUAAAUUUUGAACUAUUAUUCUAUACUAUCUAACAUGGAAUGAAGACUACUCUUGUAAUUCAACCCCAACCCACCUCCAACUCUAAACCCAACACACCUCCAAAAUUGAAAUACUAAAUUGAAAUACUAAACCCUAAACUUGAAUUCCUAAACCCAAAUCUAAAUGUAAAAUAUUUUAGAUUAAAUUAAAAUAUGAAAAUAAUAUAUAAUAUUUUGUACUAUCACCUAUACUAUAUAAAAUGGAAAGGAAAAUAGACUUGAGAGGAAGUACUACACCCUAAACUCUAAUCACUAAAUCCUAACCACUCAAUAAUUAACCAUAUAACAAUUCCACCAUAAACCCCUAUAUACUUAACCUUAAACCAUAAUCACUAAACCCUAAAUUCAAAUAUAAAUCUUAAACCCAAAUAUAAACCCUCAGCCUAAAUAGAAUGGAACUAAAUAAAUAGUAUAGUAUAAUAAUAAUGUGGAAUGAAAACCAUUUAAGACGUUAGGAAGAAGAAGAAGAAAUGUGUGACUUUCUGAUUACCACGUUUAACUUUUGCUCUCUUGAAUAUUAUUUUUUCUUUUAAAUUUCAGGGUGAGCCGGUUGCGUUGAAGGUUAGAAGUGUAAUAUUAUAUAAAAUACACUAUGUAUCGAUGUAUUCUAUGGUAUUUGGCUACUGAUCUAAAUAUUGUUUUUUUUGUAGCCAUACCACCUAAUUUCCCUUUUUACUUUAUGAUGUCUUUCUGCCCCUCUCUCCUUUGAUCAUAUGCUUUCGCAUUGUACUACGGUCUUGAUUGUUGUAAACACAGUUUUUGCGAAUGAUUAUCGGGUUUUUACUUGAUGAUGUCUUUGUACCCCUCUCUCCUUUGAUCAUAUACUUUCUCAUUGUACUACGGUCUUGAUUGUUGUAAACGCAGUUUUUGCGUUUGAAUUUACAUGAAAAAUAAAUACAAAAUGAAAGGCUAUUCCUCGUUUGUAUUAGGCGUUUCCGAUUUACAAUUGAUUGGCUUAGGACAUCUCUAACAAUAAUAUCAAAUUUGGUGUUUAGUAUCAUAAUUUUUUUGUUAUCUCCAACAAUAACACCAAAUUUUACACCAAAGUAAUAUUAUCUAUUAUUUAAUGUUUUCAGUUUAAAUUUUUUAAUCUUUUUUUUCUUAUUUAUGAUUGAUAAAUAAUUAUUUUAUUACAUUUAGAUUAUAAUUUUAUUUUUAUUAUUUGUAAGUGAUAAGUGAUAAUAGUCAUUUAAUGAUUUACUUUGUAAAUAAAAAUUAAAAAUUGACUUUUUAAUGUGUGAAAAUAAAUUUAAAAUAUUAUUAAUACAAUAUAUUUAUGUUUAGUUACAAAUUUGAUAGCAAUUAAAAUAUAUUAUUAAAUGAAAUAUAACAAAAUAUACAUUUUAAAGAUUUGGUGUGAUAAAUAGUGUUGUAUCAAGUUUGGUGUCUUGUUGGAGAUGGUUUUAUAAAAAAAAUAAGGAAAAUUAUUUUUUUAGAGCAAAAAAAUGAUAACUAUGUCCCUUUAGACUAAUCUCUAUUUUGUGUCAUUUUUUCCUAUAACACUCUUUAAUAUAUUUGAAAAUAAAUUUAAUAAAUAAUUUUACAAAAAAAAAAAAUUAGAACAUAGUAACGUUUGAUAAAAUACCUAUAUGAACUUAGUGAUAUUUUUUCCAGUUAUAAAAAAGUUGAAAUCAUAAAUUUCAGAUUAUGUUCUAAAUAAAGUAGAAAUGACAUUCUACGAAGUAGAAAACGAAAUCCACUUUUUUCAUUGAAUCUACAAUGUUUAGAAUACGUGAUCUACGUAAAUAUGAGUAUUCUAAAAAUAUUUAGAAUACACAUUCCGCGCUUAACCUACCGUUCUAAAAUCUUUAGAAAUCAAAAUCUACACAUUAAUAUAAAUCUAAAACACGUAGAAACCGACUUCUACAUAUUUACUGUAAAUCUAAAACAUGUAGAAAUCAAAAUCUACACAUUACUAUAAUUCUAAAAAACUGUAGAAACCGAUUUCUACAGAUUAGCUGUAUUCUACGGAUAAGAAAUCAGUUCCUAAAAAUAUGGAAACAAAAUAUUUGGGAACAUUCACUUUUAUAUUUUGAAAAAAAAUCGAUUCAAAAAAAAACGAAAAAGGAACUAAAAAAACGAAAAAAAACCUUGGUAACCUUCUUCGCCGUCUUCUAUAUUCCAUUGAUUGUUCACAAAAUUUUCCCAAAAAUUUCACAUUAUUUCUACCAUGAUUCAUGUCUAUGCUUCAUGUGGUGUUUGGGAAUUGGUUGUAUCUUCAGGUUGGAAUUUUAAUGUUGAUAAAAAGAAAGGGGGAAGGUUACUUGCUUUGGAAUUGAAGUCCUCUUUGGGAUACUUUCCUGGGCACGGGAUCGAUCGAUCCGUAUUGAGAGAUCGGUCGGUCUAUAUAAAUCGAUCUUCGCUGAUCGAGUGAAAUGGACCAGGUCGAUCAGUAUAUACUCCGCAUUUUUUUUUCUGCAUAAUGAUCAGGAUCGAUCGAUCUGUUAGACCUUUUAAAUUCGGAUCGAUCGAUACCGCAUGAUCGAACUCAUUAUAUAUUUUAUUUUAAAAAUUACAAUUUUAAGGGUAUUACUGCCAUUUUGAAAAAAAUUAGUCUAAUAGGACAUAAAGUAAUAGAGAUUAGUCUAAAAGGACAUAGUUACCAUUUUUUUUGCUAUAAAAAAACAAUUUUCCCUAAAAAAUAUUAACUAAGGAUUCACGGAAAAACAAACAAACAAUAAUACAUAUGUAAAUCUCCAACCAGGAGAACACAGAGGAUUGGUCCUCGUCGAUUAACAUUGAUAACGACAACUCGAAGAGUAUUGCUCAAGAAUUAGCUAAUCAAUGUAGUUGACUGAACACUAAUGUGUUGUUGUGUUGUUGCCCAUUUACCAUUUUUGUGUAAACGUCCGUGGCUCUCAUGAUUAUUCCUCCUAUUCUCUCCUUAACCUUUUGGUUUCUUCUAUAUAGCAAAGUCAAACUAGUUUUUGGAACAUAUAGGCAUUUUCAAGAUUUUAACAUCUAUAACAAUCAACUGUAAUUGACACUGCAAUGAGAAAACGCAUAGUCAUACUAGAAAAUCUACAUAUGAUAGAAACAAAACUUCCCACGAUUGAGACUGAACACAAUACCUAUAUCAUCACUUAGGUUAUAUAUGAACACUAAGUACCAAUAAACGGCAAAAUCUUCAUCAACAAAAUAAAUUAGAAAUUUACUGAUUUUUCGACCUACCUUACAUUUAAGUUACAUGUUUAUAAGUUACAAGUGCUUUAGAAAAAAAACUCUCACACACAGAAAGGAUCGAAACUAUUUAAUUAUACACAAAACUUGAACGCCUUGUAGGCUUUGGGUCUUUGACCAAAAGAAAGAAGAGGAAAUCAAGAAAGCAUAGGCUAGCAGCAAUUGAAACCAAUGUCAUAUUCCGUAAAUAGUUUAGCACGAAAGUAUCUAAUUACAUGCCCCAAAUAGAACAGGGUUUAGGCGAUUCUAGGGCGAUUUUUCGAUCUGGCAAGCUCCUCCUCACCGGUGAAGUUUUGAGGCUCUCCUUGCCAGGGAAAGGAAGAUAGGAGACUCUAGGCGCACCAUACCGAGAAGUUUUUCCUGCCCCUUGCAGUGGUUCUCCUCCAAACCGGCGCUAAAAACCCUAGAUCUCUGUCGUGUUGAGCAAGUUUCGCUUAUACGUGGAGUGAAAAAACUCCCCCGUGUAGGGUGUCGGUGUAAGGUCAGAAGUUCUUUUUCUCCGGUCUCUCAAAGACGAUCUCUUGAAAUGAGUCGAUGGUAUGGGAACCGAGAGAGAGGCGACAACUCCAUACCAAUAGGAAGACGAUUGGAAAAGAAAAAGGAGGAUGAGAUAAUUCCGAUGGAGGAUAUUAGGCUAUGGAAGGGAGAAGGGAAUGUUUUCAUACCUACUUUCAGUUCAUAUCAGACAUGGCACUUGACGCGAAAUCAAUCUCCAAAAGUGGAUUAGUAUAAGGGUCUCUGGUUUCCAGGAGCUACUCCAAAAUACUCUGUCAUGACAUGGAUAACCAUCCAUAAUCGUCUUGUUACAGGUGACAGGAUAAACAAAUGGAGCCCUACCUCGGAUGCUCAAUGUGUUCUUUGUAUGGCUCAUGUGGAAACGAGGGACCACCUCUAUUUCAGUUGUCCUUUUUCUCAAUGGAUAUGUAUGGAUUUAACAAAAAAAACUGCUUGGGAGUCGGUACACAACGGACUGGAAUACCAUUCUCGAAUGUUUGGUGGAGAACAUAAGGAGUGGUGAUCAAGCUUUCUUACUGAGAUAUGUUUUUCAGAUUACCAUACACACUGUGUGGAGGGAAAUGAAUGGGAAGAAGCAUGGGGAAAGACAUCAAACAUCAGAAUCUCUGUCAAGAUACAUUGACAAGGUAGUACGGAAUCGUAUAUCUUCACUAAGGCUACAUGGGAGUCGAGGAUAUGGAGAAACAAUGCAAGCUUGGUUUAUGGCUCGGGCGUAACUGAGUUUCUGAAAUUUGUGUUCUUAAAUAUUUCAAAACUUUAAGACAAGAAGCAUACAUUAUUGUAAAACGGUUUUUUUGAUUUGAAUAAAUAUAACAUUUUUUCAAAAAAAAAGAGUAUGCCCCACAUCCGGACCAAAACGGUUGGCGUUUGAUCAGAAUACGACACCCAACUUGAGAACUUCAGUAGUCAUUACAUUGACAAUUUUUGGGCCAUUUAUGUUACAAUUAUACAAUGGUCAAUGGUACUUUUUAUUUUCGAAAUUCAUGAGUCUCUAUUUCUAUUUUUGUAAGAAAAGAUAGGGAGAUAUUUCAAAAUUAAGUUGAGGAUAAGAUGAUUGUACUAGUUGGAAAAGAUUAUGAAUAUAACUUUUUAGUUUCAUAUAUAAUGUAGUUACAAACCUCUAUAAAUUAUUGGGACAUAAAGAUAAAUUCCAAAAAUAAUUUUGUUUUUAAUUUGUGUUUGGAUAAUGACAAAAUUCUACAUUUUGGAAAGCAUAAUCUUCAUAUUCACAUGAAUUUCAUGUCCCUUAAUAACACAAAAACCAUUCACGUAUUCGUUUGCUUAAUUUAAAAAACAAUCCAAUCUUAAUUUAGGUAAGAAGCUUAUACUAAUCACUUUUCGACAUUUCUUAAAAAGAAGAAGACGAAUUUGGUGAGAAUCAUAAGUUGCAAGACCAUAAUUUAAGUGUUAUAAAUAAAAAAAAAUUAAGCGAAUAAUUCUUAAGCAACAAUGUCGCUAUCAUGUUUUCGUAGCCUCUGCUUUUUCUGUACCCACCACCAAACACAUCAACCACCAAAUACCACCAGUAUUCAUACUUCUUCUCCCCCAAUUUCUUUGUUUAUCAAUUUUUUACCCUAAAUCUUAAUUUCACAAAAGAAAAUUCCAGAAAUCUUGAUUCCACAGUUUAUUUAGCAUCGAAUGAACAAUUGACUCGUUGAAUAAAACGAUAAGAAGCUCUAUUUUCUUCCGGAGAUAUCAUAUAUCUAUUACUCAAUACGCAAAAUGGGAUAUUAUCUCAAUAUUAAAAAAUUACAUGGGUAAGAUUCUAGGAAAUUCGAUAAAUCGAGAGCAUUUCUAUAAAUAUUAUAUGCUCUCUCUCUCUCUCUCACACGGUUACUUAAAAACCAAGAGGAAACGAUUAAAGUAAACCAAAAAUAAAGGGACCUCCGGAAAAAACUUUCGAAAUAUUAAUCCUGGAACCCUAUCUUCUCAAAAAUUGCAUUUCUGACCCUACUCAGAUCUCUCCCCUUCAAUGUCCUCCCAACUCCUUCGUGCACCGAGAACGACGCCAUCCUCGUCCUCGCCAGAAACUCGUGCGGCGGCAAUCUCCCGCCGCUAGCGUCCAACCACUCCUCUCCGUCUUCCGAAUCUCCGUCGUCGUCCUCGAUCCUCCUCCGACGGUUAUCGCGGUGCUCCUCGCGGAGAAUCUUCGACCAGUCCGGGACGUUUAUCGGGAGCGACUUCGCGGAAGGAUCGAAACUAUUUAAUUAUACACAAAACUUGAACGCCUUGUAGGCUUUGGGUCUUUGACCAAAAGAAAGAAGAGGAAAUCAAGAAAGCAUAGGCUAGCAGCAAUUGAAACCAAUGUCAUAUUCCGUAAAUAGUUUAGCACGAAAGUAUCUAAUUACAUGCCCCAAAUAGAACAGGGUUUAGGCGAUUCUAGGGCGAUUUUUCGAUCUGGCAAGCUCCUCCUCACCGGUGAAGUUUUGAGGCUCUCCUUGCCAGGGAAAGGAAGAUAGGAGACUCUAGGCGCACCAUACCGAGAAGUUUUUCCUGCCCCUUGCAGUGGUUCCCCUCUAAACCGGCUCUAAGAACCCUAGAUCUCUGUCGUGUCGAGCAAGUUUCGCUUAUACGUGGAGUGAAAAAACUCCCCUGUGUAGGGUGUCGGUGUAAGGUCAGAAGUUCUUUUUCUCCGGUCUCCCAAAGACGAUCUCUUGAAAUGAGUCGAUGGUAUGGGAACCGAGAGAGAGGCGACAACUCCAGACCAAUAGGAAGACGAUUGGAAAAGAAAAAGGAGGAUGAGAUAAUUCCGAUGGAGGAUAUUAGGCUAUGGAAGGGAGAAGGGAAUGUUUUCAUACCUACUUUCAGUUCAUAUCAGACAUGGCACUUGACGCGAAAUCAAUCUCCAAAAGUGGAUUAGUAUAAGGGUCUCUGGUUUCCAGGAGCUACUCCAAAAUACUCUGUCAUGACAUGGAUAACCAUCCAUAAUCGUCUUGUUACAGGUGACAGGAUAAACAAAUGGAGCCCUACCUCGGAUGCUCAAUGUGUUCUUUGUAUGGCUCAUGUGGAAACGAGGGACCACCUCUAUUUCAGUUGUCCUUUUUCUCAAUGGAUAUGUAUGGAUUUAACAAAAAAAACUGCUUGGGAGUCGGUACACAACGGACUGGAAUACCAUUCUCGAAUGUUUGGUGGAGAACAUAAGGAGUGGUGAUCAAGCUUUCUUACUGAGAUAUGUUUUUCAGAUUACCAUACACACUGUGUGGAGGGAAAUGAAUGGGAAGAAGCAUGGGGAAAGACAUCAAACAUCAGAAUCUCUGUCAAGAUACAUUGACAAGGUAGUACGGAAUCGUAUAUCUUCACUAAGGCUACAUGGGAGUCGAGGAUAUGGAGAAACAAUGCAAGCUUGGUUUAUGGCUCGGGCGUAACUGAGUUUCUGAAAUUUGUGUUCUUAAAUAUUUCAAAACUUUAAGACAAGAAGCAUACAUUAUUGUAAAACGGUUUUUUUGAUUUGAAUAAAUAUAACAUUUUUUCAAAAAAAAAGAGUAUGCCCCACAUCCGGACCAAAACGGUUGGCGUUUGAUCAGAAUACGACACCCAACUUGAGAACUUCAGUAGUCAUUACAUUGACAAUUUUUGGGCCAUUUAUGUUACAAUUAUACAAUGGUCAAUGGUACUUUUUAUUUUCGAAAUUCAUGAGUCUCUAUUUCUAUUUUUGUAAGAAAAGAUAGGGAGAUAUUUCAAAAUUAAGUUGAGGAUAAGAUGAUUGUACUAGUUGGAAAAGAUUAUGAAUAUAACUUUUUAGUUUCAUAUAUAAUGUAGUUACAAACCUCUAUAAAUUAUUGGGACAUAAAGAUAAAUUCCAAAAAUAAUUUUGUUUUUAAUUUGUGUUUGGAUAAUGACAAAAUUCUACAUUUUGGAAAGCAUAAUCUUCAUAUUCACAUGAAUUUCAUGUCCCUUAAUAACACAAAAACCAUUCACGUAUUCGUUUGCUUAAUUUAAAAAACAAUCCAAUCUUAAUUUAGGUAAGAAGCUUAUACUAAUCACUUUUCGACAUUUCUUAAAAAGAAGAAGACGAAUUUGGUGAGAAUCAUAAGUUGCAAGACCAUAAUUUAAGUGUUAUAAAUAAAAAAAAAUUAAGCGAAUAAUUCUUAAGCAACAAUGUCGCUAUCAUGUUUUCGUAGCCUCUGCUUUUUCUGUACCCACCACCAAACACAUCAACCACCAAAUACCACCAGUAUUCAUACUUCUUCUCCCCCAAUUUCUUUGUUUAUCAAUUUUUUACCCUAAAUCUUAAUUUCACAAAAGAAAAUUCCAGAAAUCUUGAUUCCACAGUUUAUUUAGCAUCGAAUGAACAAUUGACUCGUUGAAUAAAACGAUAAGAAGCUCUAUUUUCUUCCGGAGAUAUCAUAUAUCUAUUACUCAAUACGCAAAAUGGGAUAUUAUCUCAAUAUUAAAAAAUUACAUGGGUAAGAUUCUAGGAAAUUCGAUAAAUCGAGAGCAUUUCUAUAAAUAUUAUAUGCUCUCUCUCUCUCUCUCACACGGUUACUUAAAAACCAAGAGGAAACGAUUAAAGUAAACCAAAAAUAAAGGGACCUCCGGAAAAAACUUUCGAAAUAUUAAUCCUGGAACCCUAUCUUCUCAAAAAUUGCAUUUCUGACCCUACUCAGAUCUCUCCCCUUCAAUGUCCUCCCAACUCCUUCGUGCACCGAGAACGACGCCAUCCUCGUCCUCGCCAGAAACUCGUGCGGCGGCAAUCUCCCGCCGCUAGCGUCCAACCACUCCUCUCCGUCUUCCGAAUCUCCGUCGUCGUCCUCGAUCCUCCUCCGACGGUUAUCGCGGUGCUCCUCGCGGAGAAUCUUCGACCAGUCCGGGACGUUUAUCGGGAGCGACUUCGCGGCGGCGCCGGCGCACGAGGAAGGCCGAUUCGACGGUUUUUUACCGGAUCUGCCGGAUGCAGAGAUUUUUUUCCGAGGCGAAGGGGAGUGGACGGAACCGGCGGAUGAGUAGAGAUCGGAUUCGUCGAACUCGAGACCUGAGUCGGUGGAGGCGUAGUAGGACUGAUCGGCGCCGAGGAAGCGAUAGCUUGGCCGAGCGUAGUAGCCUUUUCCGGUGGCCAUUGACGAAGAAGAGAUUUUAAUUAAAUUUAAUAUUUAAUUUUGAGUUUGAGUUUUAGUUUUAGUUUUAGUUUUGGUGUGAGAAGAAUUAGUUGUGAGGGGGUCUAUGGCUUUAUACAGGUUUUGGGGUUGGAUAAAAUGGAUAAGGUACCUUCUCUCUCUCUUAACUUCUAGUUUCCGUCAGUGUGAAACUACAUAAUUACCCUUAGUUUUUAGAUGAAAUUAAAUGAAGUCUCGAUAAAUGCCACGAGCUCAGAAUUUUAAAAAGAUUACUCUUUUUUUUUUUUUUUUUUUGUGACUACUCUUUUUUCGUGGGGAGAAUAUUACAUGUGUCGUAUUGGCAUAUUCUUACCACUUUGUUUUGCUUCUUUUUUUCUUUUGUCGUUUGAAAAAUAUUUUUGCUACAAAUAUAAUAGGUAUUUUUUUAAAAAAAAAUUACAGUUUCUUUUGUAUUUACUUAAUAUUGAGUUCAAUUUAUAUUUGGUACCUGAUUACAAAUUCUGCAUUAUUUAAAAAAAUUCUAAAAAUGUACUAUAAGAUUGUUUUAUUUAGUAUGAAUAAAAUAGUAUUUUGUUUACGAGAUAAAUAAAACCAGUAAUUUUUUCUGAAUAUAGGUAUAUCUAAAAUAAUAGUAUAUACUAGUUUCACAUAGUUAAGGAAAUAAGAUAAUAUAUUCAUUUUUGCAAUAGUUAAAAAAAAAAAGAAAUAUAUCCUUUUGCAAAUUUGUGAAGAAAACAAAAGAGACUUCAAAAAAGCUCUAUAAUAAGAAAGAGCAGGGACAGGGAAUAUUAUGGUAUAUAAACAGCAUAUAAUAAUAUAAGCCUUAUGUUACAAAACAAAAACAAUAAUAUAAGCCUUGAGGCCCUCCACCGGGUGGAAACUUACGAGGUUGGUCGGUGUUAGCGGCGCGGAGAACCAGAACCGUCGAGGAUUACAUCAUCACUCGUCAAUUUAGCCGCUCCACAUUUGAAUUUUAUUUAAUAACCUGCUCUUGUUUUUAUACUGUAUCCAAUAACAAUCUGCACAAAGCUUCUCAACUGAGGUCCUUAUCGAGUUUUUUAAUGCGUGGAUCCCACAAAACUUUUAAGGAUCGGUUACAAAAACUACUAAUUAAGAAUCGAUUUUAGUGAAUUUUUUACACUGUUCGCGGACCCCCACUAACUCGUGGCGGUCCGCGAUUGAUUUACUUUUAAAAUUUUUAAAAAAAAAAAUAAAAUCUAAGAAACCCAAAUAGAUUUUUUAAGGAUAAACAUAGUCUUAGAUAUUUAAUUUAUACUGCCAAUCUCCCUAUAAAUAGUUUCUUUCUUUUUUGCUAAAGCUAGAAAUAGUUUCAUAAUUUAUACUCUCUCUCCCUAUAAGUAUUAAACUAUUAAAUUAUGUGGACUAUCAGAUUUGGACUAUGAUCGCCUCGCUCUAUUUGCUCAUAUUUUAUAGAGUCUGACUGUCUGAUACGAACAGCAGACUCCAACUCCAGAGUCCAGAGUUUACACUAACAAAACAUUGUAAACUAGGUUUUUUUGUCCACGUAAACUAGGUUAUUAAUUCUGCUUAUCUUAGAACUUUUAUAUGGGUAUAAAAAAUAUUACUCCAUCCGGUACCACUAAGAUUUUCUAGAGUUUUCAUGUUUAUCAAAAAUAAUAUUUACAAUUUAAUUUACAAUUUAUUUUUUAAUACACUUUCCAAUAACUAUCCACUAAUAAAACUUAAUUAAUUCAAAUAUUUACAAUUAAUGUUUCUCAAAAGUAUACAAAAAUAACUUAAACAUAUAAAAAAAUUAUUUCUGUGGAACAAAAAUAAACUCUAAAAAAUUUUACAUUUGAGAACAAAGAGAGUAUGUAGUACCAUCAAAAUCCAUAACUGAGAAAGCCCGUUACGCCAAUAGUUAUCAUCGAAAUCCGUAACUGAGAAAACCCGUUAUACCAAUUGUUAUCAAGAGAAAAUGUUAUGCUAUAACUCUUUUGCCGAUAAAAAAGGGAAAAAUAUAUUUUUUGUUGAUAUUAAAAGAGUAUUUAUACAAAUAUACAUUCUCUAAGCUGGUUUGCAUUUCUUACAAAAAUAUAUUUAUGAAAGAAACGGAUCAUGCUGGUACAAAUCUGGUGUUUCUUAUGCUACAAGAAAACAAAAGUAGGGGAAUAUCAGGUAGUAUCAAGAAAACGAAAACGACUUAUUUAAUAAGCAAAAAUAAAGGAAAUUACCAUAAGAUCUACAAUCCUUUUUUUUAGAAAUGAUUAUUAUUAUUAUUUAUAUUUAUAAGAUGUGCUUUAAGAAGUUUAUUAAAAUAAGAAAGUAUAGAAUCUCUUCAUGUUUUUUUUUUCUAAAACACUCUUCAAACUAUUUUAACAUUUUUUUAUUGUUGACAAAAAAAGCAUUUUUAAAACUUUAAAAAAACACUCUUCAAACUCUUAAAAUAUCAUUUUUCAUAAAAUCAUAACUUGGUCAAGUUUUUUGUCGUGACUCGUGUGGGGCUGGAUUCUCUUUCUCCCGUCCCCAGUUCCAAAGACAAAGAGAGAGACAAAGCAUAGUCUCUACGAUCAAAACACGUGUCUUAAAAACCCGAUCUCACUACACGUGGUGACGCUUAGCGUGGAUGGACGCCACGUGAGAGUAGGACCCACUCAUAACUUGGAUCUAACGCGCUUAUAUCUCACCAGCUGGAAAUUCACGUUUUUUAUAUAAAGUCCUUUCGUUUUCUUCUCUCUCUCUUUCUCGAUGUCCUCCCACACGCGACAGACUCGUAACCGUUUGAUAAAUAUAAUAUCUCGUAUUUUCUCAUCUCUUUGAGGUUCGUCUCGGUGUUUGAAAAAUACCUGCGAGUGGGCUUUUCUUUUUAACUAUUAGUUUUAGGCCUGGGCGUUCGGGUAUCUGUUGACGUUCGGAUCGGGGGUUUUGGAUUUUGGUUAUUUUUUAUAACACCUCUUAAGUUUCAUUAUAGUAAAUUUGCAAGUUGGACUGGGUUCGGAUAUAACACAUCGGGUUCGUGUCGAUUUUGUAUCACAUCAUAGAACACAUAAAAUAAUCAUAUAUCAUUCGGAUUCGAGUUAUAUUGGAUCGGUUCAGAUAUACCCGAAAUAAAAUCUAAAAUUUAAAAGUAAAACAUAAGAAAUAUAUAUUUAUUUAUAUAUAAUUAAGUAUUUAAGGUAGUUAUUUAUAUUUUAAAUACUUAUUGUUAGAUAACAUAUCAAAAUAAAUAUGGAAUUAAAUAUUUGAAGUAUAUAUUCAUGUUUCAUAUAAUUAUAUUGUAUAUUAUUUUGGACAUUCGGAUCGAUUUUUUCGGAUAUCUUUUCGGUUUUUUCGGUUUUUCGGGUUACCCGUUCGGGUUUGGUUAAUAAUACUUCGGGUUCGGAUAUGUUUUGUACCACCUUACAAGAUCCAUUCUGAUAUUUUUUACACUUCGGACCGGAUACUUCGGGUUUUUCGGCUCGGGUUCGGUUCGGAUUUCGGAUUACGGAUGUUAUGCCGAGGCUUAAUCAGUUUCACGAUAUUCGUUGAAAGUUGAACUUUUGUAGGUCCCACUUUACCUAUUUUAAGUCGUUGUUCGAAUAAAACUUGCUUUAUUUUAUGGGUGAAUUUGCUCAAUAGCCAAAAUGCAAAUGAAAAUUAGGUAUAUGACAUUGAUUUUGACAUAUUUAACAAACUAACAUUUAUACCACUUAUGAACCGGUUAUACCCCUCUCAUCAACAAGUAUCCAAUUAGCAAAUGAAAGAAGGGAUGACAUCUACAAAGAAAGAUAUGAACAAAAAUUUAACGAGCAUUAUUCACCAUAUAAAGGCACGUAAAGCCACCCACGUAACAGUUUUAGUUACCAUAUACAUAUUAUAGGUGACAGAGAUGAUGGUGCCAACUUAAAUGAUGAAUGAAACUAAUUUGGGAUGUCUGAGACUCCAGUGAUUGUGCCUAAAAUGAAUCGGAAUGUACAAAUACAUGACUUGGACUGAAUUUCCUGAAUGUGUUAGUCCAUACCAAUGGCGUAGUACAUGAUUUACUUUUAAAAUUUUUAAAAAAAAAAAUAAAAUCUAAGAAACCCAAAUAGAUUUUUUAAGGAUAAACAUAGUCUUAGAUAUUUAAUUUAUACUGCCAAUCUCCCUAUAAAUAGUUUCUUUCUUUUUUGCUAAAGCUAGAAAUAGUUUCAUAAUUUAUACUCUCUCUCCCUAUAAGUAUUAAACUAUUAAAUUAUGUGGACUAUCAGAUUUGGACUAUGAUCGCCUCGCUCUAUUUGCUCAUAUUUUAUAGAGUCUGACUGUCUGAUACGAACAGCAGACUCCAACUCCAGAGUCCAGAGUUUACACUAACAAAACAUUGUAAACUAGGUUUUUUUGUCCACGUAAACUAGGUUAUUAAUUCUGCUUAUCUUAGAACUUUUAUAUGGGUAUAAAAAAUAUUACUCCAUCCGGUACCACUAAGAUUUUCUAGAGUUUUCAUGUUUAUCAAAAAUAAUAUUUACAAUUUAAUUUACAAUUUAUUUUUUAAUACACUUUCCAAUAACUAUCCACUAAUAAAACUUAAUUAAUUCAAAUAUUUACAAUUAAUGUUUCUCAAAAGUAUACAAAAAUAACUUAAACAUAUAAAAAAAUUAUUUCUGUGGAACAAAAAUAAACUCUAAAAAAUUUUACAUUUGAGAACAAAGAGAGUAUGUAGUACCAUCAAAAUCCAUAACUGAGAAAGCCCGUUACGCCAAUAGUUAUCAUCGAAAUCCGUAACUGAGAAAACCCGUUAUACCAAUUGUUAUCAAGAGAAAAUGUUAUGCUAUAACUCUUUUGCCGAUAAAAAAGGGAAAAAUAUAUUUUUUGUUGAUAUUAAAAGAGUAUUUAUACAAAUAUACAUUCUCUAAGCUGGUUUGCAUUUCUUACAAAAAUAUAUUUAUGAAAGAAACGGAUCAUGCUGGUACAAAUCUGGUGUUUCUUAUGCUACAAGAAAACAAAAGUAGGGGAAUAUCAGGUAGUAUCAAGAAAACGAAAACGACUUAUUUAAUAAGCAAAAAUAAAGGAAAUUACCAUAAGAUCUACAAUCCUUUUUUUUAGAAAUGAUUAUUAUUAUUAUUUAUAUUUAUAAGAUGUGCUUUAAGAAGUUUAUUAAAAUAAGAAAGUAUAGAAUCUCUUCAUGUUUUUUUUUUCUAAAACACUCUUCAAACUAUUUUAACAUUUUUUUAUUGUUGACAAAAAAAGCAUUUUUAAAACUUUAAAAAAACACUCUUCAAACUCUUAAAAUAUCAUUUUUCAUAAAAUCAUAACUUGGUCAAGUUUUUUGUCGUGACUCGUGUGGGGCUGGAUUCUCUUUCUCCCGUCCCCAGUUCCAAAGACAAAGAGAGAGACAAAGCAUAGUCUCUACGAUCAAAACACGUGUCUUAAAAACCCGAUCUCACUACACGUGGUGACGCUUAGCGUGGAUGGACGCCACGUGAGAGUAGGACCCACUCAUAACUUGGAUCUAACGCGCUUAUAUCUCACCAGCUGGAAAUUCACGUUUUUUAUAUAAAGUCCUUUCGUUUUCUUCUCUCUCUCUUUCUCGAUGUCCUCCCACACGCGACAGACUCGUAACCGUUUGAUAAAUAUAAUAUCUCGUAUUUUCUCAUCUCUUUGAGGUUCGUCUCGGUGUUUGAAAAAUACCUGCGAGUGGGCUUUUCUUUUUAACUAUUAGUUUUAGGCCUGGGCGUUCGGGUAUCUGUUGACGUUCGGAUCGGGGGUUUUGGAUUUUGGUUAUUUUUUAUAACACCUCUUAAGUUUCAUUAUAGUAAAUUUGCAAGUUGGACUGGGUUCGGAUAUAACACAUCGGGUUCGUGUCGAUUUUGUAUCACAUCAUAGAACACAUAAAAUAAUCAUAUAUCAUUCGGAUUCGAGUUAUAUUGGAUCGGUUCAGAUAUACCCGAAAUAAAAUCUAAAAUUUAAAAGUAAAACAUAAGAAAUAUAUAUUUAUUUAUAUAUAAUUAAGUAUUUAAGGUAGUUAUUUAUAUUUUAAAUACUUAUUGUUAGAUAACAUAUCAAAAUAAAUAUGGAAUUAAAUAUUUGAAGUAUAUAUUCAUGUUUCAUAUAAUUAUAUUGUAUAUUAUUUUGGACAUUCGGAUCGAUUUUUUCGGAUAUCUUUUCGGUUUUUUCGGUUUUUCGGGUUACCCGUUCGGGUUUGGUUAAUAAUACUUCGGGUUCGGAUAUGUUUUGUACCACCUUACAAGAUCCAUUCUGAUAUUUUUUACACUUCGGACCGGAUACUUCGGGUUUUUCGGCUCGGGUUCGGUUCGGAUUUCGGAUUACGGAUGUUAUGCCGAGGCUUAAUCAGUUUCACGAUAUUCGUUGAAAGUUGAACUUUUGUAGGUCCCACUUUACCUAUUUUAAGUCGUUGUUCGAAUAAAACUUGCUUUAUUUUAUGGGUGAAUUUGCUCAAUAGCCAAAAUGCAAAUGAAAAUUAGGUAUAUGACAUUGAUUUUGACAUAUUUAACAAACUAACAUUUAUACCACUUAUGAACCGGUUAUACCCCUCUCAUCAACAAGUAUCCAAUUAGCAAAUGAAAGAAGGGAUGACAUCUACAAAGAAAGAUAUGAACAAAAAUUUAACGAGCAUUAUUCACCAUAUAAAGGCACGUAAAGCCACCCACGUAACAGUUUUAGUUACCAUAUACAUAUUAUAGGUGACAGAGAUGAUGGUGCCAACUUAAAUGAUGAAUGAAACUAAUUUGGGAUGUCUGAGACUCCAGUGAUUGUGCCUAAAAUGAAUCGGAAUGUACAAAUACAUGACUUGGACUGAAUUUCCUGAAUGUGUUAGUCCAUACCAAUGGCGUAGUACAAGACUACUUGGUCCCAAAACUAUUCCAUUUGAAACCGUAGGAAUAGAAAUUAGCGAUCAUGAGUAUAAUAUUCACUACUACUAAGUCCUUGCAAUGGAGUGCAUGAUAAGGCGAAGAACAAUUUUUAUAGCCGAAAUAGUAUAGAUGAUGAAGCUCAUGAUAUUAUAGAGGUGACUUGAAAGAGAGAAAAAUCACGUCACUUAAAUAUUUACCGCAUCUAGAAUUAUUGUGCACAGUAAAUGUAUGAACUAAAAUAGAACUCCUUCCAAUAUAUCUUAUAUUCCAUUUACCAAUCUCAAUUACUCUAUUCUAUUUUACCAAAAUAGUAUAGAACACCAACUUCAUCACGACUCUAAAUAAUAAAUUGUAUCCCAAUCCACCUCCAAUCCAUAAACAUUAAACACUAACCCUAAAAGAAAAUAUAAAUCCUAAACACAAAUAUAAACUUCAACCCCAACCAUAAAUACUAAAAAAAUUUAAUAAAAAAAAUGUAUUCCAUAUCACCGAAAUAGUAUAUGAUUCUAAUCCCACUUACAACCACUAAAUACUAAACCCAACAACAUAACAUACAUCAUGCUUAUUCAUUGUAAAAUAAUAUAAACCCUAUCAACUAACCAUUAACUCUACACAGAAAUAUAAACCCAAAUCCAAUAGUCAAUCCUAAUUUUCCAUAUAAUAAAUCCAAAUUUCGAAAUGCCAGUAAAAUGCAUUACCAUUCUACAUGAGGCAUAUAGAAUAGAAAAUAUGAAAAUGUAGUUGCAAUGUGAAGAUCAUCUUAACAUAUUUUUCAAAUGUUGAUAUGACUAUGCCUUCAUGGAAAGUGGUAAUGCUUGCCCCAACGUCAACCCCAAUAGUACAUAAACUAAACCCUAUCAACUAAUCACUAAACCCUACACAGAAAUAUAAACUCUAAUCCAAUGUCAACCCCAAUCUUCCAUAAACUAAAUCAUAACUACUAAUUACUAAACCCUACAUGAAAAUAUAAAUCCUAAUCUAAUGUCAACCCCAAUAUUUUAUAAACUAAACUCAAAUUUGGAAAUAUGAGUAACAUGCAUUUUCAUUAUAAAGGAGCAUAUAGAAUAGAAAAGGUGUCAAACGAUAUAGCACACUACAUAUAUAUUGUUCAAAUUUUGAAGUAUUCAUGAUUGCAGGGAAGGAAGUGAUGCUUACACCAAAUUCACAUUGUAUUCUGUUUUAUUUGUAUGUUAUAAUAAAUUAUAUUUCAUUUAUGUUUAACAUAUUAUUUCUCUCUACAAAAUCAUAUACAAAUUAAUAUAAACCACAUAUAUACACCAAUACAAAACUCAUAUCAAUAGAAAUGAAACAACGAACAAGAUUGAACCAUUUCUUUCAAGCAUCGAAUGAAAUAUAACUUACUAAAUAGUACAUUAUAUAUUAAUAAAUAUGGCAAAUAAGAGAAGAGCCAAAUUUGAAAAAAAACUGUUGGUUCCAUUUCAUAAAAUAGUAUAGAAAUACUACUACCCUUCCAACUCAUCCAUGACAAACCUGAAGAACAAAAUGAAAAUGAAGAUACACGUUAGCUUACAAGUUGGAAGGAAAUGUCAGCAUAUGAGAUAUGCUACUAGUAUAUGAAUUAAUUUAUGGUUAGGUUAAAUGUUUAGUUGUUUCAAUCCCAAAUAGCCUAGCUAUGCGAGUAAAUAACUAACAUAUACAAUUAGAAUUAUACCAUCUGAUAUAAUAUAGAAUUUAUAUAUAUGGAACAGAACAUGUGGUCAAAUGGAAUGGAAAGCAAAUAAUAUAUUAGUUCUAAUACGAGUCUUCAGAAAUAGCAGAAGAAUGGAAUGACACGUAACCAGUCUCUAAAACUAAUAUUUUCCAUUUCAAAUAGCACAGGUUCCAUAAGAAAAAUACAUUUCACACAAAACUAAACUUUUUUUUAUCGCAAAAGGGACUUUUCAUUCCAAAAUCUCUAUCCUCCAUUUGCAGUAAACAGAUGAGUACGACGAACCGAAAAAAGUUCAACCUUAAACCAAAAAAGAACUUACGAUAUGGUUACGGGGUUGGAAAUCGAGAUAUCAAGUCGAAUCGAUUAUUGAGGCUGGAAAUCUAACCGCCCUUUCACUUCCUUGGGUCUUCUUGUAAUCGGCUUUGGUGAUCGUCCCGAAUCAUGCAUGAUCCACCGCCUAAAAAGGCCAGUAUAUUGCAUAUGAAAAGAAUUUCCAUAACGGUGACCUCACCCCCACGAUCCAAGUCACGAUGGAAAAUCUAGUUAAACGGAACACAAUUAAGGAUCUGGAAGCCGUGGUCGUGCCGGCGGAGAAGCAAAUGUGUCUUGGUUGUAGGGGAGCCGGAGCAACGAUGGAGGAGGCGUCGCCAGUGAACUCGGGGAAUGUGGAUAAAUAGGCGUUUAAUAUUACCGUCCAGGUUGGUAUCCAAAAUCUGAUCAGAAUUUUGAUUGACAUCUUCGGAAGUUAGAGUCAUGGAGGAGAAGGAAUCGAGAGUUUGGUGUCAUCUCUACUAUCGCGGUAGUGAGAGAGAAAAUCAGGGUUGGGAUAUGAGCCAAACAUAUAAACGGUAGUAGGGCUCGAGUUUGGUGAGGGGGAAGAGGAGACGUGCUAUGGGAGAAGGAAGCGUUUGAGAGACUGAAGAAAAGAUGAAACGUGAAAAGCUAAAAUUCAUAGAAAAAAAAUAGAAGAGUAAAUUCUGAAAUGAUGUGACACUAAAAUGUAUUUUGAUUGGUGGAUUAUUUAAUCUGACGUGGACACUUUAGGUGUUGAGCUUAUUCUACUUUUAAUAUUGUAAGAUAAGUAAAACCAAAGUUCGUCAUUUUUUUGAGAAAUUGUCAUUUUAUAUUUUGGUUUUUUUUUUUGACAUCUUAUUGUGGUAUUUAAUGUAUAACCCACCUAUUGAUGUAAAAAAUAAAAUAUAACAAAAUUGUGAAAAUAGAUUGUUCUAUUCCCCUUACGUUUCAUGUUAAAUUUUAGAAAACCAAUACAUAUAUUUUAUUGUAACAUAAAAAACUUCCAUUGGUUAGUAGACAUGUAUGCUAUAUUUUUAUUGUUAGAUAAAAAAAACUACCACUGGUUAGUAUAGUCAUGUAUGUUGAAUUAAUUAAUUUAAUAUAUAUAAAUUUAUUUGAAUGUUAGUUUUUCAUGAAAAUUUUUGUAAUCUUUAUGUUGUAACUGAAAUUUUUUUUUUCUGAACUGAAGUUGUAACUGGAUAUUGUUCAAAUGAGAGACCAAAUUCACAAAAGCUGCUACAUGGCAACCCUUCUAUCCAUGUCAACGGCAGUUGCGUCCCUUCCGCAAACAGUUGCAAUGCUUCAGCAAUUAUACAAUGAUUAACCUUUCACAUAUUUCUUCCACAAAGAAUUUGGAAUGAAUAUAAACUAAAUUUACAGUAACUUUCCAUUUUGUCACUGUUCACUACAAAGUCGAAGAAUGGGGAGCAUUUCAUGAGGCCUCCACUUUGUUCACAUAAGUUAGAACCGCUGAGGCCUCCACUUUGUUCAAUCACGCAUUUUCACACCGGUCGAUCAACGAUCUGAAGUUAAAAAAUCAUAUGUCAAACAUUACAUGAUCAUAAUCAAUUAAUAAUCAUGAACAAAUCAUGCAAGGUUAUGUUUUCAAUAUAUAGUGCUUUUUGGUAGAAGCAUUAUGUUUUAAAAAAACCGCACAUAUAAAUAUUAUAUUUUCAAAUACAGAAACAAAAACUAAAGGAAAAUAAGUACAAAUGUGAUAAAUAUAUAACCAUCUUUCGACAGUAUACUGUAGGCAUUUUAAAAAAAAAAAGAAUAGAUGAUUUCCUAUAAAUUUUCGAAUUUUACCAUAAAUUUUUGAGUUAUAUUAUUAUAUACCAAACGAAAAUAUACUUAUUAUUUGAAUUUAAAAUUAGUUUAUGUAACAGUAGUGAAGUUUGAAACUCAAUAAGGUAUAUAUUCAAAACUUUUUACAUUAAAAUAUAAUUUAUUAUCGACCGAAGUGCGAUGAAGUUAAUGAUAAAAAAUAACAGUUCACAACAUUUUAAAUUAUAAAAAUGGUUUUUGCAUUAAAAUUGAAAACAUAUCUCUAAACUGAAAAAAAAACACAUUUUGAAUUGAUCAAUUGUAGUUUCACUUCCAUGCGGGUCAACACACAAAAUUGGCUCUUGGGAAAAUUCAAUUUAAUUGAUUUGAUUAGUAUAUUAUAAAUGUAAGUUAUUUAUGUAGGGUUCAUAUUGAAAAAAUAAAAGCUCUCUUACUAUCAAUGUCAAGACGUCACUACGUGGUAACUAACUAUUUCAUAGAUAAAUAGUGACCAGACGGACUAUUCGGGGUUUAGGCAAGACUAGGUAUUAACAAAUUAUUGAUUUAUUUUAAAUAUUUUUCUUUUACAUUAGAUAUUUUAGUUUUUUGGGUUUAAUUAUAAAAUCAUUUUGAUAAAUUAUAAAAAUCACAUAUACAAAAAAAACUAGAUAAGUUUGUGGAUUUUCACUAACAUUUUUGUUUAGUUUAAUAAAUUUAAACCAAUUUAGAUCGAUUUAUACUAAUUUAAAUCAAUUUAGACCAAUUUAGAUCAUUUAAAAAAAAUUUAAAACUAUUUAAGUUUAAUAAAUAAUAAUUAAGAUAAUUGUUUUGGCUAUAGCCGAUUUGUUGCCUAGAUGGACGCCUAGACACUAUCUAAACUGAUUUUUAGAACAUUGCUUACAAUGGUUGCUUUAUUCUUUUACAAUAUACAAUUUUGGGUGGCAAGUUAACUUUUAUAGAUCUUUACACUCCAUUUAGUGAACGUCCUAAACAUAUUUUUAUCUUGGAGAACUCUCUGCAACUUAUAUUUGAUGCAUCAAUUGUUUAUAACGUUAAUUAAUUUUUCUUUUGUAUUUUUGGGUUAUAUUAUGGAGGAAACUCAUUUUCAAAUUUUCUUACAUCAUCAUUUUCUAUAAAAAAAAUCCUAAAUAAAUAUUUUAGAUUAAUUUAUUUUAAGUAUGAUUUAUUACGUUGGGUUGGGACUAAAAGUUAAGGUCUCCAUUCUCUUAAUUAUUUACAUCUUUUAAAUACCCGCUUCAUUUUUUUUAUUUUUCCGCAUUUGUGUCUCUCUAAAAAGUUCAUUUGUGUUAAAAAUUAUAUUAUGAUAAACUAAACAACAACAAAAUUCUAUGAAAUUUCUAGGAGACUCAAUUUUAUUACCAUGAUAUUCUCUGCACCAGUCAUCUAAUAUUUAAUCUUCAAUCAAUUUUUUAUUUUUUCGAAGUCAGGGUGUAUAUUGUACAGCUUCACAUCCGAAAAUGAUAUUUGCUUGUUUUUCUUUUGAGUAUUGUCAAUAACUUAUACACUAGUCUUGCAGUUACUCCAUCAUCAUUAGAAUUACUAGGGACAUUGUCUCCGCGUAAGCGCGGAGUUAUAGACAUAUUUCUUGUUUUAUCUCAAUAUUUGUUAGGGUUAUUGUAGCUGUGAAUUUUGUGUUUUGGGUUGAUAAUUGUUUUUUAAGUUUUUUAUUGUUAUAGGGUUAGAGUUGUAAUGAUGUACUGUGUAUGCACUGUUCUCUAUUCAUGAAGGACUAAACUGUGUUAAUAAUGUGAUUGAUAUAGUUCGUGUUGUUGCUUGCUGUGUUACUGAGACUUAUUGUUUGUUUGUCUUUUUAAUUUGUUACUUGUAGUGUUGAGAUUAUAUAAAUUAUAUUAAGGUUGUUCAGAGUACCUUUUGUUUCUGGAUAUUUUUUCACUAGUUUAGUUGUGUAAGUUGUGUGUAUUAAGUAAUAAUUUUUUUUAUUCUUAUUAUGUUGGUUAUAUGUUUUUUUUACUUUUAAACUUGUUGUUUUUACCGGACCUUUAAAACAAAUAUAUGAAAACUUGUAGAAAUAACUAUAAAAUGAGUGACAAUUUUUUUAUUCUUAAUGGGUUUUAAACGAAUAUAUUUAUUUCUCAUAAGAAGACAAUAGCGUUGGCAUGUUGACAUUGAGCAUAUAAGCUAUUUUUAUAAGACAAGAGGAGUGAGCAGGUGGAGAUGUUGUUGCCACCUUUGUGUCUGUUGGGAUUGUCUCUUGUAUCUCCUGGUGUGGCUGUGUUUGUUUCUCUUUUAUUUGAUGGGUAAUAUGUAAACAAAAAUCAUUGUUAGUUGUAUUUAUCAGAGUUUGUAACUUACUCUGCUUUUUUGUUUAGGUAAUUUCACUGAUCUUGGUUGUCGUCUUCGUCUUCUUCGUAAGCAUCUGUGAAAGUAAGUUUGUAAAUUGUUAAAUAUUUGGUCGUGUAGUUUAUAUUUGUUUAGCUGGCUCAAUGUAUGUGUCGUUGAGUUUUAGUUGAGUUGAUUGGUUUGGUAUAUUUGUUUUGAAGUUUAUUUGUAAGAUUAGAAAAAAAGAGAGGUGAUCAUUAAUGAUUCGUCUUUUUUUGGGAUUCUAGUUUUUGGUGUUUUGAUUGUUUGGGUUAUUGUGGUUUCUUUUAAACAGUAAAAUAAAUAUUUGUGUAAAAUUAGAUUAAUAAGUAAUAGAGAUAAAUAGACGACCACAAAUCUUGGGUAUGAAAUAUUUUUGAUUAUUGAUGUUAGCACAAUAUAAGCAGUAAUAUAAAGGGAAUUAUGUGUUGAUUGUUUCUUAGGGAUCAAUGAGGAGAUGGAUAGCGACUCGAGUUGUUUUUUUGGUGAGGCCAAAACCCUGGACAUAACGGAUUUGCCCAACCACAUCUGUGAGUUGAAAUAUCAGUUAUGAUAUCGAAACAUAAUAUAAACCCAGAUGCAAUAUGAUAAUAUACCUGGAAGUUCUAGGUUUGUGUUCGCAAUCACUUGGAGAUUGUCGAACAGUCUAAUCUUGACUGAAGAUUGAUCUCAGGAGCACCUGUGAUGACUUCAUCAAUAAUUGUUAGUGAGAUGAAACGAAUGAGGAAUGGAUGAUCAGUUAUCUUGUACAUGCUUGAGCACCUAGAAACCUCAAAACGAUCGACUUUCACAAUGGAACCAGCUUUCAAAGAUGGCAUGUAAUGAUUAGCACGUCCGACGGGAGUAAACCCAUGAAUCACGGAAUCUGCAAAUAAUAUUAUUCAACAAAGAAUCAGGAAAUAAAUUAAAACAAUUAUGUUAAAUAAGUGUUAUAGAUCGAAGAUUAACUUACCUUUUCAUCAAGGAAGAGAACCGUGAUUCCCACAAACUCCCUGUCUUUCUUGAAGUUCAGGGAAUCCCAGAAGCGAGGAAGCCAGAGGCUAUGCUCUGACUACUACGACCAAGACGGAGAGAUUCGAAGGUUGAGUGACGGACGCCGAGACGCCGGUUUGACGAAUUGGAGAGGCAGAGAGAAACAUUUUCUAGAAGUUGGUUAAAUCUAAGAGGAAUCAAUGAGUUUUGUGGAGAUGCAGAUUUGGUUCAUCAAAGAUGAGAAUCAUAUAUAUAGGGUUUAUAUAGGGGCUACAAAUCAGGAACAUUUAUGAUCAAGCGAUUUAAGAUGUGAACAUGAAGAGUUCACCGGUGAAAAAAUAGAUUACGAACAGACAGAUGGUGCAACUAUGUAACUCAGACUUGUUUGAGACAGUGAAGAGAAGAACCCAAACUCAUGUUAAACGACAACAGUUUACAAUAUGAGAAAACUAUAAUUGUUGCAAACUUAAGCUUUUUUUCAUAUAACGUGAUGAAUCUCAUUUAUAAAUGAAACUCAUAACGCACUUAUAGGCCCGACCCUCAGAAGAAGCCGAAGAAGCAAGAGCUUCUGACCUUCAUAAAUAUAUAUUAGGUUCGACCAUCAAUGUACAAAGUAUCAUUUAGCUUAGUGGUAUAAAUUUUGGUGUUUAUAUCUCAAUAACCCGGGUUCGAGCCAUAGGUUUGAUAUUUUUCACACUUUUUAAAAGCGGGAUCCACAAAUUGCUGACGUGGCGCGCUGAAAAGUGAGCAAAAACUUAUCUAUUAUAAUAUAGAUUUCUUAUUUAUGUAAUCCUUUGAUUGAUGAUCAGUAUUUUAAAAUAAAUAAUUUUUGUUGAUGUAAAUACACUUAUUAAUAUCGAAUAAUUAAAAUUUUCACUGAAGAAUUGAAUUGGCCGGCGUGAAGCGCGGACAGCCCUUAGUUAUUUAUAAAUUUUGGGUGUCGACAUUGUGGGCACAUCUUUAAAUUAUUAGCUAAAUUAUAAUAAUGAUUAGAAAAAGGUAAAGUUAAAAUACUGCUCUGUGAUGGUGAUGAUGAUAAAGUGACUUUUAUUGCGAGAAAUAAUAAUAUAAAUGCUUCGUCCAAUCAUGUUAGCCUUUUAAUAAAGUUAGAUGUGAAAUAUAGGAUAAUAAAUGUAUUAUUACUCGAAAUCGUUUUUAAAUAAGAUGCAGCCAGUCACAAGGCUCAGGGAAAAGUGAGAAUAUGGUUUAUACAAGUUUUUAAGUUAGUGGUGAAUCAUUGGCCUAUUUUAUAUUUUGUUUAGUGUAGUCUUUUUAAGUGCUCAAUCGUUGGUGGUGAAUGUCUUUACUCUUUGAAGUGUACAUCAGCAAAACUCAUUAAUGUAUCCCAAAAAAACUUGUUCAGAAAAUGCUUUGUCUCUUGUAUGGGUAAUACAUAUACGUCUUUGGCGUUGUCUUGCUCACACAUCCUUUGAACUUUGAUCAAUUUUCUCAGCUUUCAAUACUGAAAUAAAUUUAUGUAUGUAUAGACCCAUUUCUCUUUGAAAAUUCAACACACUGCAAAGUACCGGAAGCAUAUAAUAUAUUCCAUAUCGCAACUACACUGAUAAGAAUAUCCAGUUUAAUCGCUUGCAUAUGAUUCGGGACAUGUAUUAUUGACCAAUAUAUAUGAUCGGUUGGCUUGUUUUUAGGUAGACAGAUGAUGUGAAGUUAAUGUAUUCAGUAUUUUUAUUAAAUGAAGUUUUUCAUUUAUGAUUCAAGACAACAUUUAGAGCUUUUAUAAUGCAAAUAUAUCGUACCAUAAUUCUUGAUAAAAAAAAAAAUCGUACCAUAAUCCCAGAGCAGAAAUUACAAAUUGUUUCGUCUAAACCGACCGCCUCUCUCUCCUCGGACGACCGCCUCUCUCUCUUCUUCCUUGGCCACGGUGCAGAUCAUCACCUAAUCGUCCCUUGUCCGUGUCAUAUUGUUAGAACUCCCGUGGAGAGAAAGAGACGCAAAGCUUUUGCUUAUAUGUAUCGUGAACACUAUGGCUGUGUCGUUGUAUCAGGCUUUCAGCUUCUCAUUGCUCAAUGUAAAUAUGAUUCUUAAUAAAGUUUUUAUUUGUUUCCAUUUAGGUAUGCGUUUACAUUUCCAUAGUAUAUAGCAUAAUAAUUCAUAUGAAAAAACAAUCGGGUAUAAUCAUCGAAUGAAGUUUAACAAGAAUUAUAACCAUAGUAAUUAAAUGGACUAAAGGCCAACCAAUGCCAAUCUCAAAGAAUAUGAUGACUUCAGAAAUAAACAUGUAGUCAUCCGAUCUACUAGAUCUACAUUCACUUCAUUUAUAUUUCUUUUAAACCGAAAAUUAAACUAGAUGGACCAUACUAAAUGAAAUACUCAUUUGCAAAAUACGGGAAUGUGACAUUCAAAGCUAUAAACACAAUCGAAAAUAAGAAGGAAAAAAGAAAAAACAGAAAGCCACUCGCCCGUCUAGUGAUUUUAGUUGUUAUGCCAAAUUUCCAAGCCCAGAGUAAUCAUCUCGAGUGGCACAGACCUUGAAUAGGUAACUAUGGGUUCGGAUUGGUCAACUGCAUAAGCCAUUUGCUUCGGCCCAAGACAAGCCUUUAUCUCUUCUCCUUUACCUGUGGUGGAAACGUCACAAAGGUUAGCGUACGUUCCUGCACUAAUGAGUGGCGUAUCCCCAACUCUAACCAGCCACAAAGGUGUUAUCAAACCUACUGAAGCCGUAUUCAAUCAAACAAGAAUCCAUUAAAUGUUGUAAUUAGAAAGUUUAGAGACUGAAUAUUUCUGUGUGUUAUUAAUGAACAAUAGAGGUUCCUUAUAUAAGGAUUACAAAGUAUAGGAAAUUUUUUUUUAUCCAAAACCUAAUACAACAUGAAAUAGGAAAAGAUAUAAAACAGAAAAGGAAAACGUCCUAAGACUAAGACGGUCUAAACCGACCGCCUCUCUCUCCUCGGACGACCGCCUCUCUCUCUUCUUCCUUGGCCACGGUUUGGGCCUUGUCUUGGUCAUUGGUUAUGGGUCAUCCACUUAAUGAUUUAUAACACUCCCCCUUGGAUGCCAUAACCAUACAGGAUUCGUAGUACGCUUCAUGUUGCCUCAUUAAAACCUUAUCAGGAAAACCCAGUGGGACAAAACCAUGAUGAAGGAAAAAGAGUACAACACGCACUACUCCCCCUGAUGUGAACCUCACUGUAGGUUCUACAUUCUACGCAUCUUGGUGCGUGAUAUUUCCUGUAUGUAUAGGAUGAGAGUAAUCUGCCAGUUUCAUUACUGAACCGUAAUUAGACCAUUUCGACUUCUUAGGUCGUUUCUCAUGUCCUUUGACAUUGAGUGUCCCGGUAAAGCAUGUGUGCUAAACAAUAUGAACCAUAUUGUCCUCGGAGAUCACUAUUUGGUCUUUGCAAACCGUGUUUGCAUAUGUCCAUAGUCUAGACGUGAUCGUCUACUAUCAACUGCUCUUUACUUUGGCGAUUUAUGGUUACCAUCGACCAUGUAUCAAUCUGGCCGAAUCAUGACCGGGUCAUAGACCUCGUCUAUAAGUGUCCACUACUUGCCUUGUGGAGUUUAUACGGCAGCAGACCGUUCUGCUAUGCUGGAUCCUUACUUAGGGGAUCAGAUGUCGGAUUGCAACCUGAUGGUUGAUCUUUCGUUUUACUAGUCCGUGAUCAAGGGAUAAGGACCGGAUGCCUUUUAGCCGAUGGGCCGGACGUUUUUAGUCGGAGUGUUGGACGCCUUUAGCUAGAGGAUCGGACGCCUUCAGCCGGACACCCAUAUAGAUUUAUUCUAUGCUUCUUUUAGGUUUAGUAUAAUCACAAGGAAUUUCAAAUAUAUGGACUGUAUUGGAUUGUCUUUUAUACAACUCCAAGAUCAUGCGUGAUCACUUUAUUUUACAUACUAUAGGCAGUUGCUUUUCAGUCCAUGAAUCAGCUUAGGAACAAAGCUGUUCUUUCAAUUUAUCCAGUGAUCCAUAUGCUGCUUACUACAUCAUUUGUAUCUAAUUUCUUUCUUAUGACCAGACCAUUAUCAAUUUCAAAAUCUGUAGCAGUAUCCACCACAUAGGAGUUUAUCUCCUUAUAAUCUGUUCCUUUGAUCUCUGUGAGUACCUUGUGUAACAAGCUUUAAUAUAAUGCUGUUAGUAGGAAAACAUGAACACCUUUACAUCAUGUACAUCUCUCACGGUUUCUUUACUUCUCACAAGAUCCAUCUAUUUCACUGGUUGAUCAGAUGGCGUUUCUGUAUAUGUAUAUGGCCAAUACGUCCAUCUCUCUUUUAGAUACCUUGAACCUCCACGUUUUAUCUUUUCUAAUCUCUAUGAUCUUUUAUGAUUGUAUGAGUACUCAUUCGUGGGUUCAUUAUCCUCGUUCAUCUCUUUAUGUUCAAGUGCUAUAACUUUAUGUAUCUUUAUACAAAUGUGUGUGUGUGUCGACACUUUCAUGUGGUUCCAUUAUGUUCCAGACAUGAUCUAUAGAUUUGAGAUCUUAUUAUCCAGGACCUUUAUUACCUAGUAGCUUGGCGUCCCAAGACUACAUGGUUUGGUACCUUAGAUGUGUAGCUGCGCAGCCUUUUCUCAAUGUCUGUUUGGUUUCUAGUAUGAUCUCGGAUCUAUCAUCCCAUGCACCAUUCCUUUCUAUCCGAGAUCCCUUUAUCUUAUGGAACACUUGGUCUAUCUUGUAUAGACUCUAUAGCAACUUGAUUAUGUCUCUUCUAGGACAUUCAUUUGGUGCUAAGCUGGUUAGUCAUUUCUCGGGUCAGUGUCUGGCAUUUCGAUUAGCUUCUCAAUUAGCUAGCUUUAUAUAAUCUUUCUUUGGACGUCUUAAAUUAUAAUCUCUAGUCCGAGGAUCCUUGCCAAGACAAUGAUGGUUUAAAACCAUUCUUAUCAUUCUUUAUCCAGCUUAUAAUCUUUCUUUUUGAAUAUCCGGAUUCAUUUGUUUCAUGCAAUCCGUACCUGGCCACUAUUUUGACAACCCAUAUUUUGGCUCACGGUUCUUUUGAAUUUUUGGAGAAAGUUCUUAUUCUUAUAUAUUCCCAAUCCUCUUCUGAGGUUCCAUCUUAGACGGCACAUGUAUGUAUGUGGUGGUUUAUUCAAAAUCUCUUAAGAUGGUGUAUGUCUGGUUUUAUGACCCGUAUUCAAUUUGAGAUGGGAAUAUCUAUGCUCACUUUAUAUGGCCUGAUGCAUAUGACAAUUCCAUACAUGUAAAUUCAUAAUGUUCCAAGCUUAUAGACUUUAGAAUCUUAGUCUUAUAGAUAAUAGUUUCCCUUUGUGUACAUGUUUCACAACGUGAGAUCUUUUACGGGAUAACUCUGUGCCUUUUCAAUCUUUGCAUCUAGUUUAGACUUUUACGAUGGCUAAUCCUAUCAUGCCAUAUAGUGUAAAAUUUCGUGGUGUAUCUCAAUAUGGUCACCACGGUUCUUGCCUCUCAUCAUACUGAUCUUAUAGCAUAGUUUAAAUCAGUUGAGAUCAUUAGGUAUAGUCUCGACCACUUUCUUAUAAGGUCUUAGGCGAUUUUUCUUUCAAAAUCUGAAGGAACUUGUUUCCUUUUGUUUGCCCAUUGUUUCUAUUUAGAAACCAUACUAUCCUAACUCAAUGGGUCACAUAUUAUUGGGUGUAUCUAAUGUCCUUUAGACAAUGCCUUAGCCAUAGUUUCUUUACUAGGCUUACUAUACACAUUCAUGAUUUCUUACUUGGUUUUAUGCCCUUUAGGCAACUCUUUAAAAUCAUUUAUAUGUUCAAGUAAAACCAGGCAAGAUAAUGAACUCAAAAUCAAUUCUAUUAUAUAUAUAUAUAAAAUCAUGAAACAUCAAAGCAAAUCAUAAAGCAAUAAGACAAGUCGUAUCGAAAAUUUAGUCCUUGAGACAAUCAGAAGUCUCAAAGUCCAUCUGGUCAUUUUUAGCAAUGUCGGAAUCAUUAUCGGCCUCAUAUCCGGAAUCGUGAACCAUGUGAGCCUCAGGGUUCUUGUUCUUAAGACUUUCUUGGUAGAGCUCACAUAAGUGCUUAGGGGUUCUACAGUUCUUGGCCCAAUGGUUUCCCAUUCCACAUCUGUGACAAACGGAUUUGGUCGAGUAAGACGGUUUGGAUAUGCCACCUCGACCACGGCCAUAACUACCUCGGCCACGGCCAUAAUUGGAACCACGACCACGGUUAUUGUGGUUUCCUUUCCGGCCGGUCGAGUAGUUGUCUCGGCUGUUCGAGUAAUUGUCACUGCCACGCCCCUUGUAACCACCACGGCCAUUGCCGUGUGAUCUCUUAUUGUUUUGGACGUAAUUGCACUCGUUGGGUUCUUUCUUUUCAACCUCAUUAGCUUCCGGUAAUGGUGCUGUUCCAACAGGUCUAGCUUCACUGUUCUUCAUCAGGAGCUCAUUGUUUGCCUCGGCCAGAAGCAGGCACGAGAUCAGAUCAGUAUAUGUGGCGAAGCCUUUCAUUAUGUACUGCUGUUGCAGUAUCACAUUCGAUGAAUGGAAUGUAGAGUAAGUCUUCUCAAGUAACUCUUCUUCGGUUACUACUUCACCACAAAGUCUCAGCAUCGAGACCGUCUUAAAUAAGACUGAAUUGUACUCAUCCACCGACUUAUAAUCCAAGAAUCUAAGAUUCUUCCAGUCGUUUCUAGCCUUUGGAAGUAACACCGUUUUCUGGUGAUCAUAUCUAUGCUGUAAAGCAUCCCAAAGUUCUAGUGGAUUUUCCAUCGUGAUGUACUGAUCUUUUAGACCUUCAAUGAGGUGAUGGCGUAUAAUACUUAUAGCCAUGUACCGAUUCUUAUCGGUCUCAUUGUUGCCCUUGAUGAUAGUAUCACCAAGUCCCUUUGACCUUAGACUGAUCUUUGUAUCUAGCGCCCACUGCAAGUAGUUAUCUCCGGAGAGAUUAAGGGCCGCAUAGUCUCUGUUUGAGAUUUUCGACAUCUGAAUCACAUCAUCAUUUAAAAUUGAGUUUCACAAUGUGAUCAUGCGGCCGCAAGAUAUAUUAACAAGCUCGGCCACAAACAUGUCUUACGCAUUUAUGAAAAACAAUCAAUCUAGAAACGACCAUGGUGCGAUCAAUUCAUCAAGCCACUCGGCCAUGCAGUUAUAUCUAAUGCAACCGGUUUCAAGAUUGUAUAAACUACAUGCUGGUCGAUUCUUAUUUAAACAGUAUGAAUGCAAUCCAUAUUCAGAUUCAUAUGUAUGCAAGAAAUCCUUAAUCAAUCCUAGGGUUUCUGAUUUAAACACUAGUAGGAUUCGGUUUUAAGAUUAAGGUUUCAAGGCCUUUUAAGAUUUAAAACGAGAUUUAGAGUUUUAAACAUUUAAACUUUCAAACAAUGCCUCACGGCCAAGGUAUAUGCCUUACGGCCAAGUAGGAGCCACACGGCUAUUUAGUUCAAUUCAAUGUCAUCCUUAGAGUAAUAUCUAGGUUCAAUUGCAAUCAAUCAGGUAUGAUCAAAUUCGAUUAUGAAAGCAAUAAGGCCACACGGCCAUGAGAUGAUAUAAUCAAGAUCUUUAUCAAGUUUAAUUAGGAUUUUUAGUUUAAACAUGUCAAGCAAUACAGAUUCGAGUUUAAACAAUCCUAUCAAUAUCUCUAGGUGAUCAAACAAACAAUCAAAUUUCAAAUCAAACAAAUUUAAAAUCGUUUUUCCAAAUUAGGGUUUCAGGGGAUUUCGAAAACUUUGAUCUUUGAUCAAGAGAGUUUGAUUUGAGAUUCAAAAUCAUUAAGACUUUGAUUUUAAUUGAUCAAUGGAUCAAUCUCGAAUUAUGGUUUAGGGGACCAGACUUAUUCGAGCUCCGAUUUACUCUUUUAGGGUUUGAUCUAUUUGUCUUAAGGCUUUCAUCUUAGAGAUUAGAUUUUAGGGUUUCAAUCUUUACAAAACAACCAUGUUCAAUUCAUAUUCUCAGAAUUAGGAUUACCUUUGUUUUGCAGAUUGUAGAACCCGGACCACCAAGAGAACCUCGAACGGACAUGAGAUGGGACGAGUUGGAACGGUCGUGUGCUGAGGCGAGACGCGUCUGAUCGGGAUCGGAUGGUUUGGCGUCUGAUCGCGGAUGUGCGCCGAGGAUGUCGGACGCGUCUUCUUCUUGAGUUUGCGAGUGGGUUGAUUGGGAACUCAAGCUGGCUGUGAUGUGAACUGGAAACUGAGGUCGUCUAGGAUCAGGAACGCAAGCAAGAACAAUUUGGGGUUUUUCCGGAAUUAGAGUUCCAAAAGACCAAAACGGUGCCGAUUAUUGUUUCUGCGAGUGUGGACGCGUCUGAGAUCGUAUCGACAAACGGUUUUCGUUGAUGGAUUCGUCUUGUCAAGAGCUUCAAUUUGAUAUGUGGCUCGUCGUCUGGUUCCUCGGGGUUUGAGAGAUAGAACGAUUUUAAGUUGCGUCUGGAUUAUGGUUUAUGUGUGACGGAUUUUAGGUUAGGUUUUGUCUCAGGGUUUUGGAGUCUAUCGUGCUGAUAACGUGUUGUAAUUAGAGAGUUUAGAAACUGAAUAUUUCUGUGUGUUAUUAAUGAACAAUAGAGGUUCCUUAUAUAAGGAUUACAAAGUAUAGGAAAAAAGAAAUUAUCCAAAACCUAAUACAAUAUGAAAUAGGAAAAGAUCUAAAACAGAAAAGGAAAACGUCCUAAGACUAAGACGGUCUAAACCGACCGCCUCUCUCUCCUCGGACGACCGCCUCUCUCUCUCCUUCUUUGACCACGGUUUGGGUCUUGUCUUGGUCAUUGGUUAUGGGUCAUCCACUUAAUCAUUUAUAACAUUAACUUUCUUUUUGAAAACCAGGCCCAUGAAAAUUGUGUGUUUCUUUCUCAAAGAAAAAUAAGAAAAUUUUGUGUUUAAUAAAACUAUUUUCCCAAAUUAGCAUUGUGAAAAUGUGAAUUAAGGUUGAUGGUAAAAAUCCUAAGGAGCUUCGGGAGGAGAUUGUCAAUGGUGACAUUGAUGUUCCUAACUAGUGAAAAAACGUUCCUUAUAGUUGUCUCGUCGUUCUUUAUGUAGAUACGAGGAUAAAUUUUUGGAGUUGAAUCAUUUAAGUUGGAAUCUUUAAUCUAUCUUUGAUUUUGAAUGUCUGAAAUUUUUGGGAUGAUAAAGAUGGAUGUUAGUUUUUGAAUGCAUCACAAGAUUCGUUAGCAUGAUUGUAUCCGAGCCAAUUGAUUUUUUGUUUUUGAAUUUGGUAUGAAUCUGAAAGUGAAUUGAAGACAAAUCAUAACUGAGGUUUGAUGUCUUUGUCGGAAGUGUUGCAUAAUAUAGUCAAGAUUUGGGUUGUUUUUUUUUUGGUAAAAAGGAUUUGGGUUGUUGGUAAUGAUAGAUCAUUCAAAUAACGACAUUGUUGAAUGCAACAUAAGAUUUUACAACAGUACAGAGUGGUUAGUUUGACUGGUCUAAUGCGCAAUGUUAAUUUGCAGUUGCUAUUUAAAAACUUGUUGGACAGAAAUGUGACAGUGUACUAGUUCCUAAAAUGGUAGUUCGGUUGAUUGCGUCAGCAGUGUCUUUGGGUUGGGUUACCAUCUGAUAAGGUUAGCUGUACUUAACCGUACUCGAGUCAAAAAUAUUUGAAAAAACAACUAAAACCGUCUAUUAGUAAUGUCAUUUCUCUCGUUAGUUCCAAUGUCAUUGAGAAUUAUAUAAUCGUUGAUUUACUAAAACCAGAUGUAAUGCUUCAAAUAUUAUAUAGCCCACUAUCAAUUUCAAGCAUGGUUAUUUAUUAUAAUAUAGUUUAUUGGACGUUGAUAGCAAGCUUACUUGAAACGUUGACGUACUCUACCCUUAGUAUUUUAUUUAUGUACAGUUAGAUUACGACAAUACAAUAUAUAUAAUCUAUAUUAUUAAAAUAGAUGUACCCAUUUGAAAAUGUUCUUACUUCAUUAAUUAAACUCUUUUUUUUGCUUAUCGUAUUCAGUUGCAUUUAUGAAAUAUCCUAAAACGAAUAAAACUGCCUAAUUUAUUACUUGUCUUUUCAGUUACAUUAAUGAAAAUGUUUAAAUGAAAUUAAACUUCUUAUUUUAUUGUUUGUCUUUUUCAGUUACCUUAACGAAAUAUCCUUAAAUAAAUUUGGACAUAAUGUCAUUUAAUCAACCAAAAAAACUCAUCAGUUAUCCUUACGUACAUAAUUUUAAUAAUGGAGAUUUUUAAAAACGUACAUCAUUAAAAUGUCACCUCAAACAUGCAGCACUAAUAUAUAACAUGCAUCAAUAAAACUAGAAUUUGACUCACACAAUUGUACGUAUAUUAUUUCCAGUUGAUUAAAUUUAAAAAUAAUUAUUUAUUCAAAAAACAUUUAAGAAUGGAUAUGUUUUUAAAAAUUAUAUGGUAUUAUUUGCUCAUAACUCAUUUGUCAUUUGAUAAAUUGUUAGAAAGAAAAUUUUAGCAUAAUAUAACUCAGUUUUCAUUUGCUAAAUUUAUGGUUUUUAUUUAUAUUUUUUAUUAGUUAAUUAUAAUAUUUUCAUUUUAUAUUUGAAAGAUAAGAAUUUUCUUUCAAACAAUAUUUUUGUAAAUGUAUUUAUUAAAAAAUAAUCAAUUAAAAUUGUUAUUAUCAUUGAAUAUCAUUAUUUUUGACAUAAUUUGAGUUUUCGUUUACAUCAAAACUUAUCAUAUUUUAGGAUAAUUUUAAUUUAAAAUGUAAUUUUCAUAUUUUUCAAACAAAUUCUAAAAAUAUUUUUAAAAUAUUUUGUUAUAAUUGUUAAAAAAUAUAUUGAGUUGCAUUUCAAAUAAAAAGGUAAAGAUAUUAAAAAUAUUCUAAUUAAAAUAUGUAAAAUUUAAUAUAGUUUUAACUAAAUGGUCAAAAAAAAAAAAAAUUACACAUAAAAUAAUCAUGAUUUUUGUUAACUGGGAGGAUCAUUAUUUAUAUGAUAUCGCACACGAAAGAAAAAUUUCUGUUUUUAAAAUUAUCUAAUUAACUCUAUACUCAUUUUUUAUAUUUUUUAUAUGAUAUCACACAUUCGUAAAAAAAUAGAUAGUUUAAGACGAAAAAAAAUAUUUACUUAAUAAAUAUAAUAUAAACAAAUAUUACAAAUACAUCAUUUAAUAAAAUAAAUAAUUAAAAUCUGAAAAUUCAUAUAUGCGCCGGUCAGGAUCUAGUUAGAUAUAAAAUAUAUGCAUGCAUCAAGCAUGUAAGUCCAACAUUAAUUGAAUAUUUGGAAAAAUCAGGAUCAAAUCAACGUGAGAUAAUGCUCCUAUGUACAGAAGAAAUUUUCUGGCAAUUGUAACAUAUAAUAACAGGUUCAACGUUUGUCCGGAUAUUGCAUGUCAGGAGAUCUCAUUCUUAUCAUAUAAGCAUUUGGUGUUUUAGAAAUAAAACAGUUUCCUCAGUUUUCAAAUCUAACUUUUGAUAACUGAGUGUUAAAUUGAGGUUUUAUUAGUUACUUUAUUAAUUUUAAUAUUGUCGUUAGUUUCUUAUUAUAUUCUGUUUAUAGUUGUCGAAAUCUUCUACUAUCAAAUUAGAAACCAGAAUAAAAUCCAAAAAAUCAGAAACCAGAAUUCUUUUGAUAAAUCAUCUUAUAGUCGAUAAGCUACUAAAAUCAUUGAUUAGAAAGUAGGUGGGAUGAGACUGUGUUCACCGACAAAACGUUAACUGCAGAAAAUGCUUCUGCGCUAAAAUGCAAUUCCCGAAAUAGGACAUUCUUCGUAUUGUUGUAAUUAGAGAGUUAAUAGGACAUUAGAGAGUUAAUAGGACAUUCUUCGUAUUGUUGUAAUUAGAGAGUUUAAAGACUAAAUAUUUCUCUGUUGUUAUUAAUGAUCAAGGGGGUUACUUUAUAUAAGAAUUACAAGAUGAAGAUAAAAGAAAAAUGUACAUAUCCUAAUUCAACAGGAAAUACGAAAAAUACUAAAACUUAAUAAUGGAAAGAUUACAUGUACUAAGAAAAUGAAAGGGUUUCAUUUUUUCUAAGCUUUGUGGCCGUCUUUCUCUCUCCUGAAGUCGGCUCUCUCUCUUCUCUCUCUAGGCUUCGGCCGUCCCUCCAUCUUCUAGGUAUUGGGCCGGUCUUGGACCGGACCUGGUUAAUGACAAUCCACUCCAUGAUUUAUAACACUCCCCCUUGGAUGCCAUAACCAUACAUGAUUCGUAGUACGCUUCAUGUUGCCUCAUUAAAACCUUAUCAGGAAAAUCCAGUGGGACAAAACCAUGAUGAAGGAAAAAGAGUACAACACGCACUACUCCCCAUGAUGUGAACCUCACUGUAGGUUCUACAUUCUACGCAUCUUGGUGCGUGAUAUUUCCUGUAUGUAUAAGAUGGGAGUAAUCGGCCAGUUUCAUUACUGAACCGUAAUUAGACCAUUUCGACUUCUUAGGUCGUUUCUCAUGUCCUUUGACAUCGAGUGUCCCGGUAAAGCAUAUGUGCUAAGCAAUGCGGACGUUUUUAGUCGGAGUGUUGGACGCCUUUAGCCAGAGGGUCGGACGCCUUUAGCCGGACACCCAUAUAGAUUUAUUCUAUGCCUCUUUUAGGUUUAGUAUAAUCACAAGGAAUUUCAAGUAUAUGGACUGUAUUGGAUUGUCUUUUAUACAACUCCAAGAUCAAUGAUCAUGCGUGAUCAAUUUCUUUUACAUACUAUAUGCAGCUGCUUUAGGUUUCAGUCCAUGAAUCAGACCAUUUUCAAUUUCGAAAUUUUGUAGCAGCAUCCACCACAUAGGAGUUUAUCUCCUUAUAAUCUGUUCCUUUGAUCUCUGUGAGUACCUUGUGUAACAAGCUAUGAUCUAAUGCUGUUAUUAGGAAACAUGAACACUCUAGACCUCGUGAUCAUGUGCCUUUUCUCACGGUUUCUUUACCUCACAAGAUCCAUCUAUUUCACUGGUUUAUCAGAUGGCGUUUCUGUAUAUGUAUAUGGCCAAUACGCCCAUCUCUCUUUUAGAUACUUUAAAACCCUCACGUUUUCUUCUUGACUCAGUUUAGUCUUACGAAUGCAUUCUCAUACUUACGUGGGUUCUGAUCCUCGUUUAUAUCUUUGUGUUCAAGUGCUAUUCUUUUAUGCAUCUUUUAUAUAACAUUCAUGUGUGUGUCGACACCUUCAUAUGUGGUUCCAUUAUGUUCCAGACAUGAUCUAUAGAUUUGAGAUCUUAUUAUCCAGGACCUUGGUUACCUAGUAGCUUGGCGUCCCAAGUCACAUGGUUUAGUACCUUAGAUGUGUAGCUGCACAACCUUUUCUCAAUGUCUGUUUGGUUUCUAGUAUGAUCUCGGAUCUAUCAUCCCAUGCACCAUUCCUUUCUAUCCGAGAUUCCUUUAUCUUAUGGAACACUUAGUCUAUCUUGUAUAGACUCUAUAGCAACUUGAUUAUGUCUCUUCUAGGACAUUCAUUUGGUGCUAAGCUGGUUAGUCAUUUCUCGGGUCAGUGUCUGGCAUUUCGAUUAGCUUCUCAAUUAGCUAGCUUUAUAUAAUCUUUCUUUGGACGUCUUUAAUCAUAAUCUCUAGUCCGAGGAUCUUGCCAAGACAAUGAUGGUUUAAAACCAUUCUUAUAAUUCUUUAUCCAGCUUAUAACCUUUCUCCUUUAAUGUUUGGAUAGACGGAUGCAAUCCGUGUACUUGGCCACAAUAUGAUCACCCAUGUUUGGCUCAAGUUUUCUUUAUAAAUCGUGGGAGAAAGUAAUACUCCUAUCCAACAUAUAUUCUCAAUCCUCUUUUGAGGUUCCAUCUUUAGACGGCACAUAUAUGUAUGUGGUGGUUUAUUCAAAAUCUCUUAAGAUGGUGUAUGUCUGGUUUUAUGACCCGUAUUCAAUCUGAGAUGGGAAUAUCUAUGCUCACUUAUAUGGCCUGAUGCAUAUGAUCAUAUUAUCAUUCUAUACAUGUAAAAUCAUAAUGUUCCAAGCUUAUAGACUUUAGAAUCUUAGUCUUAUAGAUAAUGGCUUACUUGGCCGAACCUUUUAUGGUAAUGGCCUCUCUGGCCGGUUAUGGCCCUUGCGGCCGACCUGUUCAUAACAUGGUCUCUUUGGCCGAGUAAUGUCCUUAUGGUUUGGCCGUUUUAAAACAUGGCCUCUACGGCCGAGGAAUGGCCUUUUAUGGCCGAGCCAUUUAUAACAUGGUCUUUAGACCAUAGUGGUACACGAACUUGUAGUAUUGAUCAUGGGUUUAUCCUCUCUCCCCCUCAUGACCAUACUAUAAGGUCGUGGUGCUUGGGACAAUUAAGCCUAAUGAGUUUCCCUUUGUGUACAUGUUUCACAACGUGAGAUCUUUUACGGGAUAACUCUGUGCCUUUUCAAUCUUUGCCUCAAGUUUAGACUUUAGGAUGGCUAAUCCUAUCAUGCCAUAUAGUGUAAAAUUUCGUGGUGUAUCUCAAUAUGGUCACCACGGUUCUUGCCUCUCAUCAUACUGGUCUUAUAGCAUAGUUUAAAUCAGUAGAGAUCAUUAGGUAUAGUUUCAAUCACUUUCUUAUAAGGUCUUAGGCGAUUUUUCUUUCAAAAUCUGAAGGAAUUUGUUUCCUUUUGUUUGCCCAAUGUUUCUAUUUAGAAACCAUAUUAUCAUAACUCAAUGGGUCACAUAUUAUUGGGUGUAUCUAAUGUCCUUUAGACAAUGCCUUAGCCAUAGUUUCUUUACUAGGCUCACUAUACUACUUUCACGAUUUCUUACUUGGAUAUUAUGCCCUUUAGGCAAUUCUUUAUCAGUAAAAACAUUCAUAUGUUCAAGUAAGAUCAGGCAAGAUAUAAUGAAAUCAAAGCAAACUCUUUUAUAUAUAUAUAAAAAUCGUGAAUCAUCAAGUAGGUCAAAAGCAAAUCACAAAAUCAUAGACUUAAAAUAAAAUUAUCAUGUCGAGAUCUUUCUUUAGUCAAUGUAUAAGCCGGCCUCACAAUCUAUAUUACUCCACACGGCUUUCUUGGAUUCAUCCUGAUCCAAUGCCUCAGGAUAUCUCAUCUCACUGUUUUGUUGCUCAAUGCAUCUUUUCUGAAGUUUCUCAAAUCUGUCAAUGGUAUCUUUAACUUUCUGCUUUCUUUGCUCAGUUGCCAAUAGGUAUGACAAUAGGUCAUUAUAGGUUGUGAAAACCUUAGCUGUAUAUGAUAGCAACCGAUCCUUUGGAUGGAAUGUGGAAUAUGUUUUAUACAGUAGAUCAUUAUCUGUAACCACUUCAUCACAUAGUUCAAGACUAUGGGCGAUUUUCAUUAGAGCAGAAUCGUAUUCUUCCACGGAUUUAAAAUCCUGGAACCUGAGUAUCUUCCAAUCAUUCAUGGCUUUUCGCCAUAAUUCCAUUGAGUAUAUGGAUUUUAGUUUUAUCCAAAGAUCAUAAGGAUCCUCAAUAUCUUCAUACUUAUUUCUCAGUUCCUCAGUGAGAUGAUAGCGCAUAAUUGUUAUGGCUCUAUGCUUUUCACUUUCAAUUUCAUCAUUUCUUUCAAUGAUACAUUUCCCGAGUCCUCUAGACUUCAGGGCAAUUGAAGUGUUCAUUUCCCAUUCUGGAUAAUUAUCUCCAGAGAUAUCUAGGGCAGCAUAAUCCGAAGGCUCAAAUCUCGACAUCUGAAAUCAUUAAUAAAUUCAUGAUUUAGAAUUCUUGCAACCAAUUCAAAUAAUUAGUGCAUAUGAUUUCAUAAGUCUAUCUAUAAUACUUUAGGCUACACGGCUCAUGUUUUGUGAUGCUUAGGCCUUACGACUUUAAUCUCAAUCAAGGGCACAAGGCCGCAUGUAUGAACCAAUGCAUUAUGCCUCACGGCCAUUCAGUAUGAUUGAUAACAAAAACACAAUGCCACACGAUCCAUAUCAAUCAAAUAAUCUAGCAACCUAACUCUCAUUCAAUAUGUAAAUUCUUUAAAUCAAUCUUUCAAUCUUUAAGUAAUGAGAGAUUUAAGGUUUCAAGGCCUUUAGGAAUAUCAAUCAAGAUUAAGGGUUUCAAGGCCUUAAGGAUUUCGAAUCUUGAGAUUAGAUCUAUUAAUCAAUCUAUCAAUCCUAACAUCUCAGAUCAUCAAUCAUCAAACAAAGACAUUUUAAAAACCGAAUUUAAACUUUUUAGGGUUUCAGGUUGAGUGAUUUAGAUUCGAAUUUAAACAAUCCUAUCAAUAGCUCUAGGUGAUCAAACAAUCAAAGUUCAAAUCAAACAAUUUAAAACCGAUUUUCCAAAAUUAGGGUUUUUAGGGGAUUUCGAAAAACUUUGAUCUUUGAUCAAGGGGAUUUGAUUUAAGAUUCAAAAUCAUUAAGACUUUGAUUUUAAUUGAUCAAUGGAUCAAUCUCAAUUUAUGGUUUAGGUGAUCGGACUUAUUCGAGCUCCGAUUUACUCUUUAGGGUUUGAUCUAUUUUUCCUAUGGCUUUCAUCUUUAGAGUUCUUAUUUUAGGGUUUCAAUCUUUACAAAACAACCAUGUUCAAUUCAUGUUCUCAGAAUUAGAAUUACCUUUGUUUUGCAGAUUGUAGAACCCGGACCACCAAGAGAACCUCGAACGGACACGAGAUGGGACGAGCUGGAACGGUCGCGUGCUGAGACGAGACGCGUCUGAUCGGGAUCAGAUGGUUUGGCGUCUAGUCACGGAUGUGCGCCGAUGACGUCGGACGCGUCUUCUUCUUGAGUUCACGAGCGGGUUGAUUGGGAACUCAAGCUGGCUGUGAUGUGAACUGGAAACUGAGGUCGUCUAGGAUCAGGAACACCUUAGGGCUGGAGCUGAUCGGGUGUUUGUAAGCCGGAACACAAGCAAGAACAAUUUGGGAUUUUUCCGGAAUUAGGGUUUCCAAAAGACCAAGACGGCGCCGUGUAUUGUUUCUGCGAGUGUGAGCGCGUCUGAGAUUGGAUCGACAAACGGUUUUCGCUGAUGGAUUCGUCUCGUCAAGAGCUUCAAUUUGAUAUGUGGCUCGUCGUCUGGUUCCUCAGGGUUUGAGAGAUAAAUUGAUCUUAUGUUGCGCCUGGAUUAGGGUUUAUGUGUGACGGAUUUUAGGUUAGGUUUUGUCUCAGGGUUUUGGAGUCUAUCGUGCUGAUAACAUGUUGUAAUUAGAGAGUUUAGAGACUGAAUAUUUCUCUGUUGUUAUUAAUGAUCAAAGAGGUUCCUUUAUAUAAGGAUUACAAGAUGAAGAUAAAAGGAAAGUGUUUCAUUUUCUCUAAAACAUAUCCUAAUCCAACAUGAAAUAGGAAAAAUACUAAAACAUAAUAAUGGAAAGUUUACAUCUACUAAGAAAAAGAAAGAGUUUCAUUUUCUCUAAGCUUUGUGAUCGUCUUUCUCUCUCCUGAAGUCGGCUCUCUCUCUCCUCUCUCUAGGCUUCGGCCGUCCCUCCAUCUUCUAGGUAUUGGGCCGGUCUUGAACCGAGCUUAGUUAAUGGGAAUCCAUUCCAUGAUUUAUAACACAUAUGCUUUAAUAACCUUUACAAUAUUGUCAUUCCCUAAUAUUUUUAGCGUCGAACUCUAUUUAGAUAUGUAAAGUAAAUAGUAAAUAAUAUUCUAAGAUAUCUCUUCCACAUUAAUGUCACAUCAAUGAAUACAAGAUUAAAAUAACUUACAGUUAAAAAGAUCAAUAUUUAUAAUAAAAACGUGCAUAUAUAAAUAUAUGUUAAAUAUAUUUGAGUUUAAUAUCCAAGUCAUCUUAGUUGGGCUGUUGGGCCACAUAAUUAAUUAAUGACAUUAGGGAUGGUUCAGCUAUUGUAUAUAGUUUGAUCAUCUUGUUAGACGUGAAUUCAAUUAUUUCUAGAUAACUUUUAUUUAAUGGAACAUGUUGGACUAGUUUAACAGAAUAUUGGAUAAAGAAAAAUAAAUAAGGAGAUGAAAUUUGACAUUGCAAUUGAAAAUAUUAAAUUAAGGGUCCAACUUAGUUUAUGCAAACACAAUAUAAUGUCUAAAUGGAAGGUUAGUUGGACGGCUUAAAACAAAUUUAUCUUCCAAUAAUCAUACAAUUUUAAUAAUCAUACAAUUUUAAGACAGCUCUGUGUCUCCCACCCGUAAUUAUGUAAUUCCGAAAAUGUACGCAUAAUUUACAAAACUAGGUGAAACCCGCGCCUUGCACGGAAUAAGACACAAAAUGAAUAUUAUAUAUAUAAAUCACUUUUACAUAUUAUUAUUUAUUUGUGUUCGUUACAUAUUAUGAAAUAAUAAAUAUAUUAUAUAAUAGAAAAACAUAUAAUUAUUAUGUAUAUAAUUAAAUUAGAGUAGAACAAAAAUCAAACAAUCUCUCUUGUUUAUUUACAAUAAUUUUAUUGGUAAAUAAAUAAAAAAAAUUAUUUUAUUUAUUUUAUAUAUUAUAUAAUUAAAUUUAAAUGAUAUUGACAUAUAUAUAUAUAUAUAUAUAGUAUAUACUAAUAUGGAUAUUAUAUACUAAUAUGGAUACUUAUUAAUUGAGGUUUCAUACUCAUACAAUUUUAUUAACAUUUGUAUAUUUUGUACCAAAAAAAUUAAAUCACUAGUUACAAAAUUUUCAGUGUGAGAUUUUUAAUAAUUUUAGUAAUUUAUAAUCGUUUUAAUAAUUGAAUGAAUACUUCGAAGUUAAAUUAUUAAGGUCUCAAUACUUUUGCAACGAAAAAUUUGAAAUUAACAUAUUUAUGUAUUUUUAUAUAGUAUAUAGUUUAAUUUUCAUAUGAUUUUAUGAUCAUUUGUAUCUUGUUAUAACAAAAAACUAAACCACUGAUCAUAAAUUUUUUAAUGUGAGACUUUUAACAAUAUUAAUAAUUUAUAGUCAUUUUAAAAAAUUCAAAAUAUAACAUAUAAGAAAAAAUCUAAUUUUUUAAAUUAUAUGAUUAAUGUGAUUGUUUAGGUUCUUUUAAGCAUAUAAAAUUAAACAAAAAUGAUGAAGAAUACAAAAAUUGUUAUAAAAUAUUUAUUAUUUAAAAUCAUUAAUUGUCAUAUAUAUGUUAAUGAUAUUAUAUAAUUCUGUAGCUUUUAUUUAAGAAAGUAAAGGAGAAUAUUUUUGUACACUGCUAAUCAAUUUUACAUUUAGUUUAACAAAAGUAUAAUAUAUGUUCAGAUGGACCAACUAAUUUUUCUAAAUUUUUUAAAAAUCAUUUUAGUAAUGACACGUCACUACAAAAGAUGUUGUAAUGCUGCUCAAUUAAUAUAUAAGGAUGGUAGGUUUGAAUUCUUUGUCUUAUAUAAAGAUAUGAAAUAUGUUUUAGAUUUUUUAUCUUUAUUUAAUUUUGGCUAUAUAUUUUUAAAAUUUUUCAGUUCAAGAUUAUUCAAUAGUAGUUUCAAUAAAAUUAACUAGGGAUAAUAUAGACAAAGGUACUAAAAAUCUUAUAACAUAAAGAAGAAGACAACUCUCUUCUUAGCCUGCCAGCGCAACAAAUAGAGAGAGGAGAACGCGACACGUGUCAUCUAUUUCAAAACGCUUCGUAUAAUUUAUUUUGUGUUCUUUACGCUUACGUUUAAGUUCUUCUUGAUUAUGAAGAGUUAAUGGCUGCUCUGUUUUUUGAUAUGCUUAUGAUCGAGCAGUGGAAGAGCAAUCAAUAAUAUGAGAAUUAGUCGCGUAGGGCAGAAAAGAAUGGCAUGUGGAAGAAGCUUCAUUGUUAAAGUAAUACUAUAAAUUGCAUUCUCAUUGAGCUUCUUGCAUCAUAAGUAAUAUAUUUCUCAGUAACAUGGUCUGUUUUUGGAUGAUCUAGACCAGGUCACCUUCUACACUCCUAGGCAUGACAAGUCAGAUAAUAGGAAAACAAAAGCUUGCCACGUGUCUCUCUAAGGUAGCUUUGUUUCUUCAUGAAUAAACAAGCAGAAGAAGAAGGCUAAGGGAAACCGGAACGUUAUCUUCUGGUUGGACACAGACACUACAAGAAAACAUAAUCUUAACGAGGGCGGUUUUCCUCGUGAGUUCGUCGUAAAAGAGGCUUUACGACGAAUUAGCGAGGAACCACGUUUGGUCGUUACUCAUCUGUCGUAACACAUAUUUCCUCGCUAAUUCGUCGUAACGUAGCGAGGAAUAUAUUUCGUCGUAAAGACGAAGUAGAUUAUUUCGUCGUAAAGACCACGUCAACAUUCCACGUAAGGAGGUCGCUAUAUUUCCUCGUAAAUACCUCGAAACAAGUUCCUCGUAAACUACACGUAAAUACCUUGAAAGUGUUUCCUCGUAAAAUACUCGUUUAUCUUUCCUCGUUAUUUCCUCGUAAAUGUUUUCUCGUAAAAUACUCGUUUAUUAUUUCUCGUCAUUUCCUCGUAAGGUUUCCACGUAAAUAGGUCGUACCUUAGCUACGAAUUUACUUCGUUUUUAUUAUUUUACAGAAUUUAAAAAUAUAAUUAAAAAAUAAUUAAAAUUAUUUAAUUUAUUAAUAAAAUUGAAAUUUAAAAUAAAAAUAAAUCAAUAUGAAAAUAUUUUAUAUAUAAAUAAGUUUUGAAUUUAUGAUACAACAACCGGAAAAAAAAAACUAAGGGUCGUUCAUCGCCUGGUAGAAUUCAUCACUCCUCCUCGUAACAUCCGCCUCGUUAUGUACGUCGGAGGANNNNNNNNNNNNNNNNNNNNNNNNNNNNNNNNNNNNNNNNNNNNNNNNNNNNNNNNNNNNNNNNNNNNNNNNNNNNNNNNNNNNNNNNNNNNNNNNNNNNNNNNNNNNNNNNNNNNNNNNNNNNNNNNNNNNNNNNNNNNNNNNNNNNNNNNNNNNNNNNNNNNNNNNNNNNNNNNNNNNNNNNNNNNNNNNNNNNNNNNNNNNNNNNNNNNNNNNNNNNNNNNNNNNNNNNNNNNNNNNNNNNNNNNNNNNNNNNNNNNNNNNNNNNNNNNNNNNNNNNNNNNNNNNNNNNNNNNNNNNNNNNNNNNNNNNNNNNNNNNNNNNNNNNNNNNNNNNNNNNNNNNNNNNNNNNNNNNNNNNNNNNNNNNNNNNNNNNNNNNNNNNNNNNNNNNNNNNNNNNNNNNNNNNNNNNNNNNNNNNNNNNNNNNNNNNNNNNNNNNNNNNNNNNNNNNNNNNNNNNNNNNNNNNNNNNNNNNNNNNNNNNNNNNNNNNNNNNNNNNNNNNNNNNNNNNNNNNNNNNNNNNNNNNNNNNNNNNNNNNNNNNNNNNNNNNNNNNNNNNNNNNNNNNNNNNNNNNNNNNNNNNNNNNNNNNNNNNNNNNNNNNNNNNNNNNNNNNNNNNNNNNNNNNNNNNNNNNNNNNNNNNNNNNNNNNNNNNNNNNNNNNNNNNNNNNNNNNNNNNNNNNNNNNNNNNNNNNNNNNNNNNNNNNNNNNNNNNNNNNNNNNNNNNNNNNNNNNNNNNNNNNNNNNNNNNNNNNNNNNNNNNNNNNNNNNNNNNNNNNNNNNNNNNNNNNNNNNNNNNNNNNNNNNNNNNNNNNNNNNNNNNNNNNNNNNNNNNNNNNNNNNNNNNNNNNNNNNNNNNNNNNNNNNNNNNNNNNNNNNNNNNNNNNNNNNNNNNNNNNNNNNNNNNNNNNNNNNNNNNNNNNNNNNNNNNNNNNNNNNNNNNNNNNNNNNNNNNNNNNNNNNNNNNNNNNNNNNNNNNNNNNNNNNNNNNNNNNNNNNNNNNNNNNNNNNNNNNNNNNNNNNNNNNNNNNNNNNNNNNNNNNNNNNNNNNNNNNNNNNNNNNNNNNNNNNNNNNNNNNNNNNNNNNNNNNNNNNNNNNNNNNNNNNNNNNNNNNNNNNNNNNNNNNNNNNNNNNNNNNNNNNNNNNNNNNNNNNNNNNNNNNNNNNNNNNNNNNNNNNNNNNNNNNNNNNNNNNNNNNNNNNNNNNNNNNNNNNNNNNNNNNNNNNNNNNNNNNNNNNNNNNNNNNNNNNNNNNNNNNNNNNNNNNNNNNNNNNNNNNNNNNNNNNNNNNNNNNNNNNNNNNNNNNNNNNNNNNNNNNNNNNNNNNNNNNNNNNNNNNNNNNNNNNNNNNNNNNNNNNNNNNNNNNNNNNNNNNNNNNNNNNNNNNNNNNNNNNNNNNNNNNNNNNNNNNNNNNNNNNNNNNNNNNNNNNNNNNNNNNNNNNNNNNNNNNNNNNNNNNNNNNNNNNNNNNNNNNNNNNNNNNNNNNNNNNNNNNNNNNNNNNNNNNNNNNNNNNNNNNNNNNNNNNNNNNNNNNNNNNNNNNNNNNNNNNNNNNNNNNNNNNNNNNNNNNNNNNNNNNNNNNNNNNNNNNNNNNNNNNNNNNNNNNNNNNNNNNNNNNNNNNNNNNNNNNNNNNNNNNNNNNNNNNNNNNNNNNNNNNNNNNNNNNNNNNNNNNNNNNNNNNNNNNNNNNNNNNNNNNNNNNNNNNNNNNNNNNNNNAAAACAAAUACAUCAAUCGGAUACAUCGACAUUCUCGUCAUCACUAGAAACAUCAUCAUUUUCAUUAAACUCGUCUUCAACAGCUUCGUCUGUGGCAUCAUCGGUAAGAUCUUCGUACUCGUGAUUAUGCGGAUCAAUGAGAAGGAUGUCAUCAAUUUCUUGUUCAGGUUCCUCGACUUCAUUUAUCUGUUCUUCUUGCAAUGGUGGUUCUUCUCCACUGAUGAUUCGUCCUCGAGGUGUAACUUUGAUCACUGCUAACCAAUUUAUACCUGAAUCUCUCAUCCGAGGGUAUGGAAGGAAGCUAACUUGGUCUGCUUGUGAAGCUAAGAUGAAAGGCUCGAAUUUGUUGUACCUUCGUCCACCGUUGACAUCAACUACACCGAAUUUGUUAGACCGAACACCUCUGUUGACGACGGGGUCGAACCAUUCACAUUUGAAGAGGACGCAUUUCAGCUUCAGUAUCCCUGGAAAUUCGACUUCAAUAAUCUCCGUCAAGAUCCCGUAGAAAUCUGUUUCCCCUUUCACACAUAUUCCAUAGUUACUGGUCGCCCGCUGUCUACCAUACUCAUAUGUAUGAAAAGUAUAGCCUCGUGUGAAAUACAUCUGUGAUGUGGUGACCUUUACAAGUGGAGAUUGAAUUACUUCGUGUAACCACUUAGGAUAAUCUGCAUCUGUGAUGUGGUGACCUUAAAAAAAAAAACGUGUAACACCUACAAAAUUGGUGGAUUCAAAAUUUCCUCGCUAAAUACACGUAAACUAUUUCCUCGUAAAUAACACGCAAAGUUUACGUCGUAUUUACGAGGAAAUAGUUUUUCCUCGUAAAAUACUCGUUAAAUUACAUCCACUUUACCACGAAACACUUUUGUCGUUACGUUACGAGGAAAUAACGAUGACUUUAGUUUUCAACGUAAGUUCCUCGUAAAAUCGACGUAAAUUUACGAGGAUUGUUUUUCCUCGUUAAAUUUCCUCGCUAAGCAUGUGUUUUCUUGUAGUGAGACGGUAAACCGAAUCAAUUUUUUAACCAUCCAAACUGUUUUUCCUAAUCAAACUGGUUCUACUUAACCGGGUUAUGGUGUUGUUGUAAUAUCUUUAAGCGCUUGGAAUGCAUUGGAUCGCUUGGUGCAAGCAAAUUUUAUGUCUAAGAAAAAAGAGGAGAAGAAUGUGACAAGUAAAGUGAUGGAAGAUUUAACUCCAUUAAUGGAGCUAGAAUAGGAGGAAGCUUUAUGCUUGGAUCAACAAGUUCUGGAACCAAAUCUCCACCCAUAAAUGUAGACAAGACAAUCAGUUUUUAUAUUUUUAUUUUGCAAUUUUUAUUUGAUCCCAAUAGUCCAAAAACUACGGUUGAUAUUGACGAAGCCUUUUUUUUUUGUAUUUUUCAUUCACUAUAAAUAAAAAUUUCAAAUUUCUUCUUGAUUUUGCUUUUAUGUGACAGAUUAAAACAAAGGAUUUUGUUUGGUAUUUACAAGGAACUGUUACUUUUAUGUUAGUUUCAUCUGCGAUUAGUGUUUGAUGUUGUUUGAAAUGUCAAUUUGAUCUCUUCCUUUUGCAAUGGUGCAGCUGAAAAGUUUCAUGCAGGCAUAAAAGUAUUCAAAUCUGCUUUAAAAUUUGUGGCCAAUAUAGUGGAUAUUUACUCUUGGGUUGCGAUAGCUACUGUGAUUCUCGAUAUUGUUUGCGAAGGGAACGGUGGUACAUGAUCAAGCAACGGGCUAUUGGUGAUCACGAGACACAAGAGCCACGGUAGUUGCAUAACUGAUUUUACAUGUUUUUUCUGAAGUGUGGUUUUACAUGUUUUUCUGAAGAUUAAUAUUACGUUUGAAUCAUUGAAAAAUGGUAAUAAUCUUCAUGAGAUUAACAUAGCAUAAACCCAUUUGAAAUUAAGUUGUGAGGGUUUUAGGAAAGAAUUAUUCUUGAGUUCAUCCCCUAGGGUGAACCUCUAGGUUCUCCAACCAAUAGGAUUUUGUUAUUUCAUAUUCGAUAUAUUUUAAAAAAUGAAAUAAAAUAUUGUCAAGUUAUACUAUGUUUUAAAAAUAUCCCAUAAAAUAAAAUAAUAAAAUCAACAGGAACUAAAAAAUGUCCUAAUAAACAAUGAUUUUAAACUCAUUUUCAAACGGAGAUAAUGUUUCAUAAGCUCAAACCAACGAAAAGAUCUCUAAUCUCACAAAUAUUUUUUCUUUUGUGUUACUAAACUCAAAAACCAAAAAACUAAUAUUAAAAUUGAUAGAAAAGCAAAAUGAUAAAUUAUACAUAAUCAAACAUAUUGCUUAAAAAGAGUAAAAUAAAAUAAAAUACAAACAUCGACACACUUUUAAAGAAAGCAAAACGGCAUCGUAACAUCGUCUCUUGCACUUUUUAAUUUAAGAAAUUAAUUGCAAAGUUUUGACGAACCGUAAUAUACAAGAAAUCUAAAAAAAAUAUGAUAAUGGAUUACCUCAAAUAAAUCAAACAAAAAAAGUAAAUACAUCGCCUCAAUAAAAAUAAAAUAUUAUAUCAUUCCAAGAAUCACAAUAAUAUAAUUAUGCAAUUUGGUCAACAACAGCUAAUUCAGCUCUCGAUAUCAUUAGAUAUUAUAUAAACAAAGAUCACAUGUAAAUAAUGUUACACAAAAACAGAUAAUUAUUAUCUUGAAACUAAAAAAAAUGUCCAUCUAAAUACUUAAUUACGUCAAAACCCCGCGCGAAGCGCGGACUUACCCUAGUGAAGCUAUAUUUAAAUUGUGAAAACUAUUUUAGUAUAAUUUUACAAGGUAGUAAAUGUCCAUUUGUGAUUAUGGAUACAAAAAGCUUAACUAUCUUAAUGUCCGUAUAUGUUUAGAAAAAAAACUUUGUCCCUAGUUUCCUUUCGUUUUGAAAAAAAACUAGUUUUUUUUCUUUUUAUAUUUGGAAGCCUUUAAGCAAAAAAAAACUAGAUUGUAUAAUGUGUUAUUAAAAAUGUUUGUCUGCCCUUAAUUUUUGAUGUGGAAAAAAUUAAUUUCUCUUUGUAUUUAUUUAUUUUUAUGAUGUGAUUUGUUUCAAAUCAUUUCAAUUAAAAAUAUUAGGUUAUGGAAUUACUUACUUGUAUUGAUCAUUCUUGAUGUACAUAUAUAGUUAGAGUACAAAGAUAAAUAAGGAAGCUAAUAUACAGCAGUAAUGAUAGAGACGUUAGAGCAUAAUUAUAUGCUGUUUAAUAUAUACUUUCUAUAUGUCUUACACACCCCCACAAGACGGACGGCCGGUAGAGAAUCCGAUCUUGAGAAGUAAAGAGUCGAAUGUAGAGCGAGGGAGGGGUUUGGUUAGAACAUCGGCUAGUUGAUCAUGGGAGGAGACAUGUGAGACUCGGAGUUGCCCAGCUUGAAUGUAUUGUCUAACAAAAUGAUAAUCAAGUGCCAGAUGCUUCAUCCUUGAAUGAAAGACUGGAUUUGCCGCCAAGUACGUUGCACCUAUAUUAUCACAAUAUAUCACCGGUGUGGUUGUUGAUUUGAUUCCAAGUUCAGUCAAGAGUGCAUUCGUCCAGCAGACUUCAGCUGUGGUAGAGGCUAAUGACCGAUAUUCUGCUUUUGUGGAGGAGCGGGAGACACCACUCUGUUUCUUAGAAGACCAUGCGACCGGGUUACGACCAAGAUAAACAAUGUAUGCCCCUGUGGAUGUGUAGUCGUCUUUGUUGCCUGCCCAGUCCGCAUCUGUGAAAGCAUGAAGCGAUGGAGUGUUAUGCGCAUGAAGUGUUAUUCCUCUCGUCAUUGUGCCAGAAAGAUAUCGAAGAAUUCUCUUCACUGCAUUCCAGUGUUCAGUGGUGGGUUUAUGCAUGUACUGCAACAUUUUGUUGACUGGAAAGUCUGGCCUGGUUAGAGAGAGAUAUUGAAGGCUCCCGACAACGGCUCUAUACUCUGUGGGAUCGGCUAGUGGAGUUCCAGAGAAGAGUGUCAGCUGCGUCGAAGAGCACAUAGGCGUGGCUAUGGGAUUGCAGUUCUCCAUCUUCGUUCUAUGGAGCAAAUCUGCAAUAUACCGAGUUUGAGUUAGGUGCAUGCCUUUAGCUGUGCGUUGAACUUCAAUGCCAAGAAAGAAAGAUAGAUCAUCUAAGUCUUUGAGAGAAAAUCUCUGUGAUAGGGAAUCUAUAAACUUAGUCAAAUGAGAUGAACUAUUCCCUGUAAGAAUUAAAUCAUCAACAUAGACAAGCAUGUAAAGAAGAACUCCCUGUUUUCGGUAGAUGAACAAUGAUGCAUCGGCUAAGGAGUUGAUGAAGCCAGCUUGAAGUAGGAACUGCUUAAGCUCAUUAUACCAAGCUCGGGGAGCUUGUUUUACGCCAUAUAUGGCUUUGCGAAACCGGCAGACUGCAUUGGGAUUAUCUUUGCUGAUGAACCCUGGUGGUUGCGCCUUGUAAACCUCAUCUUUUAAUGUUCCUUGAAGAAAGGCAUUGUUGACAUCAAGUUGACGAAUAGGCCAGUUGGAUGAGACUGCAGUGCUGAGGACUAUGCGGAUGGUUGCCGGUUUGACUACGGGACUGAAAGUAUCAUGGUAGUCGAUGCCUGGCUUUUGUGUGAAUCCUUUCGCCACCGGCCGUGCUUUAUAUCGAGCUAUCGUCCCGUCUUGAUUCCGUUUGAUCGUGAAUAUCCACUUGCAACCUACAACAUUAAAACAUGUAUCAUCAGGCAAGUUCUCAAGAUCCCAAGAGUGAUUACCUAUUUGAGCUUCAUAUUCAUCGCUCAUUGCUUUUCGCCAAUGAGGGCUUUUGAGAGCUUGAGCAACUGUUGUUGGUGGUGUUUCCAUUGUCUGCACCACUUUGGUAUGAAGAUUUAAUUUUUGCACAGGUUUGCGUUGACGAGUGCUUUGUCUGGUCGGAGGCGGUGCUGGCUGUGGCUGUGGCUGUUGCACCUCUGUUACCGGUGGCAGCUCUGUCUCCAUCGUCGUCGAUGGUGCUGUGGUGACCGUAGGAGUUACAGACGGCGUUGGCUCCUCUGUGGCAGGGAUGUUGCGUGAACUCUGGUCUGAAGGUGGAGUGACAAGACCUGAAAUAUUAUUAAUAGGAGACACAAGCUUGACAGUAGGAUAAGUCGAAGUGUUAGACUCAUCAUCGUUAGUGGUUUCUAUAGGAGCUGGUAAUGAAAAGGGGAAAACAUGUUCAUGAAAUACUACAAGUCUCGAAGUAUAAAUUCUCGAAGUUGAUCUAUCUAAACAGAAAUAUGCACUUUGUGUAAUGGAGUAACCUAAGAACACACAUGGUGUGGAUUUCUCAUCCAAUUUAUGUGAUGCAUAUGGUCGAAUCCAAGGGAAGCAUAAGCAUCCAAAUACUUUGAGCUUUUGAAAAUUUGGACUAUGUCCAUGCAAAGUUUGAAAGGGCGAUAUGAAAUCUAAAACAGAGGAUGGCAUUCUGUUAAUUAAAUAAACAGCCGUAGCAAACGCAUAGGCCCAAUAGGACCGUGGCAUUGAUGCAUGAGACAGGAGUGAAAGUCCUGUUUCGACAAUAUGUCGAUGUUUACGCUCUGCAAUGCCAUUAUGUUCUGGCGUAUGCGGUGGGCUCGUCAUAUGAGAAAUGCCAUGUUGAGCCAAAAAAAUUCUCAGCCCAAUAUAUUCACCUCCAUUAUCGGUAUAUAAUGUUUUAAGCUUGGUUUGAAAUCGAUCAUUCUUGAUGUACAUAUAUAGUUAGAGUACAAAGAUAAAUAAGGAAGCUAAUAUACAACAGUAAUGAUAGAGACGUUAGAGCAUAAUUAUAUGCUGUCUAAUAUAUACUUUCUAUAUGUCUUACAAAAAAUACAAAAUGUUGAACUAAAGAAACAUCUAUGAAAUGACUAUCUCAACAUAGAUUAGUGUUUUUCUCAAAAAAAAAAAAAAAAGAUUAGUGGAGACUCUGGAGAUAGAGUAAUAUACGAAUGUAUUUUUGUACGGUCUCAACUAAAUUUGUUGACUUGACGAAACAAUUUUGUGCUUAACGAGGAUUCGAGGAAUUUCUUCCUUAUUCUUUAGUAUGUAAUGUAUCAAUGAAAUUAGAAGCUCAGAAAAAGGAAAAAUAAAGAAUAGAAAGAAUGCGAUGAUUUCUCGUUGGUGAGUGUUCGUGUGGAGAAUAAACUACAAAGCUAUCAACAAAAAUCUCAUAAAGAAUUUGGUUUAUGGUUUUCACUGGAUUUUAAUUGAUUUCGAACACCUUGGUUAUUUAACAUGAAAAAUAAUAAUGGCAUGUAAGCAACUUGUCAUUAUCAAAGGUAGUCAUUCUUCAACAAUAGUUCCCUCGUGGUAAUCCAGGGUUUAUGUAAUUCAACGUCAUUACCUAUUCUUUGUUUAAACUUUGUUUGCAUCUGUUGAGUAGCUAUUUAAGUCACUUUCGGAUGUAUUGUUGGUCUCAUCAAAAUGUAACGUCCAGCAAAUAUGUUGGCGGUUGUCUGAUAUUUGAAGCCAGUUAUUGUCCAUUAUAACUUCUAUGGUUAGUUUUGGUAUAGUUUGCAGUGGUCAUUGUGAUUGUAUAAUGAAUCAUUAUAGCUUUAUACAAAUCUUAAUGAAUUUAUCGUCAAUACCAAGACGUCCAUGGACCAUGGAAACCACUAUAAAACCAAUAAUGCUCUAGAGAAGAUCUCACUAUCAAAACAUGUGACAAGUUGAUUACAAAUGGAAAAAACUCAAAGUCAACAAUUGCUAUAAAAUAAGAUACAGAAGUCUAAGAUUAUCCAAGUUUUAGAAUUGCUCUUAAAAACAUUGGUUUUUGUUAUAUGAUAUUCCAAUAGGAGUUUAGCCAUAAAGUGCUACCCUAACUAAUCCCCCAAAUACGACCAGACUGAAAUUAAAUCCAACAUACCUACUUUAUAAGAAAACAUAAACGAAUGUUGAUAUAUAAACCAAUAAAUAUCAAAACUCAGAAAGUUAAAACAUAAUGCUGCAUGCAAUUAUGCAAAUCAUUCUUUCAUAACAUUUACAAAGUAAUAGCAAAUUUGAGAUGUUUCGCAUAAAUAUACCACCAGCUCAUUUGAGGCAUAUACGGAUUUGAUAUGAUUCGAUUCAUCAUUAUUUAUAAUAUAUACUUAACUGUACACAUGAUUAUAUAAUCACAAAAUGAUCUGUCUUAUAAUGUACUUAUGCCGAACCUUUGCACAGUCUGCGUAUAUAUACACACACAACUAAACCCAAGAGCUACAACAAACACUAAAACUCAUCUAUCUUCCUCUCUCCCUCUCAUCAUCAUCUUUGGCCAUGGCGAAGGACUUGGAGGUGCAAGAGGGAAGAGCGGCGAGGGAUUACCAGGAUCCACCCCCGGCCCCAUUGUUUGACAUGGAGGAGCUUGGAAAGUGGUCGCUCUAUAGAGCGGUCAUAGCUGAGUUUGUGGCUACACUUCUCUUCCUUUACGUCUCAAUCCUCACCGUAAUCGGGUACAAAGCUCAGACCGACACAAGCGCCGGAGGAGCUGAUUGCGGCGGUGUUGGGAUAUUGGGGAUUGCGUGGGCUUUCGGUGGAAUGAUCUUUGUUCUCGUUUACUGUACCGCCGGUAUCUCCGGUACGUAUACUAACGGUUCCAGUCACGGUACAUAGAUUGUCACAUAACAUAUAAAGAGAAAUAUUAUAUAGUUUAUGCAACAAAUACAUCAAAAUAUAUUAAUUGUAUUAACAGAAAUUUAUAUAGAUCUCUUUGGUACGGUUUUAAUUUCAAUGUUUUGUCGAAUAAAUAUCACUUUUAGGUUAUCAUAUAUAUUUUCCUGUUCAGUUUGAAUUAGUUUUAGAUAUGUUCGGUAUGAGUAACUUCGGGUCGGCUUAUCUAAAUCAAGAUUCAACCUUACAUUUUAAAUUGAUUAGUUAAUUUAUUUGUGUUGUUGGUGUUUUAUAGGUGGUCAUAUAAAUCCGGCUGUGACGUUCGGACUGUUCUUAGCUCGAAAAGUGUCAUUGGUGAGGACAGUGUUAUACAUUGUGGCUCAGUGCCUUGGUGCCAUCUGCGGUUGCGGUCUGGUCAAAGCAUUCCAAAGUUCUUACUACAACAGGUUCCAUCAUGUCUCAAACACUCAUGCGUCCAGAUUUUAAAAGAGCCGAUCAAUUAUUAUUUUGUCUAAGCAUCAGCCAGUCAAACCGUCUAGAUAUCGCUUUAAUAUAUGAUUACGAUUUUUAUUAACUAACAAAAUUGUUAAUAACACUAGAUAUGGAGGUGGAGCCAACCAGCUUGCGGAAGGCUACAACAAAGGUACCGGACUAGGGGCCGAGAUCAUCGGAACAUUUGUCCUUGUCUACACCGUCUUCUCGGCCACCGACCCCAAGCGAAGUGCACGUGACUCUCACAUUCCUGUUUUGGCGCCACUUCCCAUUGGUUUUGCCGUCUUCAUGGUUCAUUUAGCCACCAUCCCCAUCACCGGAACUGGAAUCAACCCUGCCCGUAGCUUCGGAGCCGCAGUUAUCUUCAACCAAGAAAAGGCCUGGGACGACCAAGUACGUCAUUAACCUUUUUAUAUGGAUACGUUUUUCUAUCAAUUAAAAUACAAAUAAAUUAAUGAUGUUUAAUUAUUUUACUUUAUCUAUUUGAGCAGUGGAUAUUUUGGGUGGGACCGAUGAUCGGAGCAGCAGCGGCUGCGUUAUACCAUCAGUUUGUUCUAAGAGCGGCUGGAAUUAAAUCUCUUGGCUCCUUUAGGAGCUCUGCUUAACUUGAAUUGUUUUAAUUAAGCCACAAGUUAAUCUUUCUUCAAAUGAGGAUGAUUACCUGUAUUAAGCGUAAGCUACGUGUAUCUUCUAUUUAUUUCUAUGUUCUGUUUUUAUAAUUUCUUGGAAUUUUCCCAUUGGUCGCAAACCUGGUUUUAAUUAAUGUUGCUUUAAAAUAAAUCUCAAUUUCCGUUUUUUCAUUGAGUAGAGUUAACGUUAAUUUCAUUUGUAAGCUACCUGUAUCAUUUGUUAUUUAAAUUUCAAGUAACAAAAAGUUGAAUGAAUAUAUAAAUGAAUGAACAAAGGUGUUUGUGUAACUUUGCUGGAUAGAUGUAUUAUUCUAGUAAUUAUAAAAGUAUAAGAGUUAGUUUAGUCAUUACAUGUAUGAUUAGAGUUAUUAUAAGUAAUAUCUCUUAAUUUAAUUAUAAGAACUUCACUAAGAGAUUACCAAUGAGGUUAUCCUAAUUUCUUGAGAAUCAAUAGAUAUGAAUAAAGUAUACAAACACAAGAAGAGUGUCACAAAUUUAUAACUUAUUUGAUCUAUAUAUAGACCAUAUAUAAACAAUGUCAAUCAAAAUGAUUAGAGGGAAAUUCCACAAAAGAGUGAAAAUCAACAAACAAACAAAAAUAACUGCAUUAACCAAAUUGGUUUUCAUGACUUUUCUUCACUCAUUCGAAAGACCUUUUCUUCUUUUGUUAUUCAUUGUACAAUCAUACAAAUUUUCCAUCUUCGACACAGUUCCAUUGGGAACCUUAGACACUCUCCUCCUCCAUUGUUUCUAUGGUCUCUAAUCACUGAAACAAAGGCGAGCCCCUUAUCACCAGUGUUGGUGGUGACCAACCAUCUUCAAACCCUUUUAUUAGGGUCUUUUUUCACCGAUCCUAUCCCGAUAUUAGUAUAUUCUUGAGAACAUCAGUUUCAGCUUUUCAAGUGAAGCAUGUUUACCGGUAUUUUUGCUCCUUUAACACUUUUGCCACUCGUAUCGCUGUAGUAAUUUUAAUUUGUUGUUUAGCUGUCGAGUUUAUCUCUGAUUGUAACCUUUCAAACCUGUCAGACGUUUAAUUUAAUAUAAGAGUUUGGUGCAAAAAAAAAAAACCAAGCAACAACUAUGAACUAUCUCAUCUAUUAAACCAAUCAGAUAAAACCCACAAACACACACACACACAACAAACAAAACAAAACAAAACCAAACAUUAACAGAUAUAACAGAGAAGAAAACAUGACAUACCUUACUCUUUGCUUAUAUGUGUGUCCAUUGCAGGAAGCAGACUUGUUCAUGGUCCAGCUUAUUCAAACCUACCUGCUUUCUCUCCACAUCAGCUUACGAUUUUUUUCCACCCAAGAUCAUCUCUCGCUGACAAUAGACCACCAAAAAACUUGCCAUCUUUUCACCUUCACCUUCAAAGACAUCUAACGUAGAAGCAGAAACAUAAGGAAGCAAAUUUUCAUCAGUUGAACACAAAAAUGAGGGCCAAUUAAAUCAUGCUGAUUAUUAAAAACUACUCCCUCCGUUCUCUUAUAAUUGUCGUUUUAGAGUUUUUGUUUUGUGUCAAAUUAUUUGACGUUUCCAAACUUCUAUGUAGAAUACAAUGAUUUUUGACUUGUUUAUCCUUGCAUUAAUAGCUAUGAAAACAGAGGGAGUAUAAAAUAAACUUUAAAAUCAAUCGUUUUAGUAAUAUUCCGUUAAUAUUCCUUCAUGCAUCUAUAUUAUUAAAAGAGAAAUACCCAUUUGAAAAUGUUCUUACUUCAUUAAUUAAACUUCCUAUUUUUUUGCUUGUCUUUUUCAGUUGCAUUUAUGAAAUAUCCUAAAACGAAUAAAACUGCCGAAAUUAUUAGUUGUCUUUUCAGUAACAUUAAUGAAAUAUGCUUAAAUGAAUUUAAACUUCAUAUUUUAUUGUUUGUCUUUUUCAGUUACCUUAAUGAAAUAUCCUAAAAUAAAUUUGGACAUAAUGUCAUUUAAUCAACAAAAAAAACUUAUGAGUUAUCCUUACGUGCAUAAUUUUAAUAAUUGAGAUUUUAAAAAACGUACAUCAUUAAAAUGUUACCUAAAACAUACAUCACUAAUAUAUAACAUGUAUCAAUAAAACUAGAAUUUGACUCACACAAUUGUACUGAUAUUAUUUUCAGUUGAUUAAAUUAAAAAAUAUUUAUUUAUUCAAAAAAUAUUUAAGAAUGACUAUGUAUUUAAAAAUUAUAUGGUAUUAUUUGCUCAUAACUCACUUGUCAUUUGCUAAAUUGUUAGAAAUAAAAUUUUAGCAUAAUAUAACUCAGUUGUCAUUUGCUAAAUUUAUGGUUUUUAUUUAUAUUUUUUAUUAUUUAAUUAUAAUAUUUUGAUUUUAUAUUUGAAAGAGAAAUGAAUUUUCUUUCAAACAAUAUUUUUGUAAAUGUAUUUUUUAAAAAAUAAUCAAUUUAAAUUGUUAUUAUCAUUGAAUAUAAUUAUUUUUGACAUAAUUUGAGUUUUCGUUUACAUCAAAACUUAUCAUAUUUUAGGAUAAUUUUAAUUUAAAAUGUAAUUUUCAUAUUUUUCAAACAAAUUCUAAAAAUAUUUUUAAAUAUUUUGUUAUAAUUUUUUAAAAAAAUAUUGAGUUACAUUUCAAAUAAAAAGGUAAAAAUAUUAAAAUAUAUUCUAAUUAAAAUAUGUAAAAUUUAAUAUAGUUUUAAGGAAAUGGUCAAAAAAAAAUUACACAUAAAAAAAAUCAUGAUUUUUGUUAUCUGGGCGGAUCAUUAUUUAUAUGAUAUCGCAAAUGAAAGAAAAAUUUAUGUUUUUACAAUUAUCUAAUUAACUAUGUAUACUCAUUUUUUUAUAUUUUUUUUAUAUGAUAUCACACAUUCAUAAAAAAAAUAGAUAGUUUAAGAUGCAAAAAGAAAAAUAUUUACUUAAUGAAUAUAAUAUGAAUGAAUUUUAUAAAUACAUCAUUUAAUAAAAUAAAUAAUUAAAAAUUGAAAAUUCGGAUCUAGUUUAUAAAUUAUACUAUGUAAACCCCUUAAAUAAAAUUUAGUUGCUGUCAGAAAAAAAAAAGUCAGUUUGGAUUCAGUUACUAAAUUCUGGUAGAGAGCCGCAUUAAACGUGGUCAACGAAAUAAGUACUUGCCGUAAUAAACUCAAAACUCCAAUGAAAACGACGACGUUACAGUCAACUUAAGAAACCACCUUUGUCUUGUUUUCUCAUCAGUGUGAUCAGAGAGUUUCGCACUAAAAAAAUAUGGCGUCCCGCGUUCUCCUCCUCCUCUCUCUCACCGCUCUUNNNNNNNNNNNNNNNNNNNNNNNNNNNNNNNNNNNNNNNNNNNNNNNNNNNNNNNNNNNNNNCUCCCCGCUCUUCUCAUCUUCUCCGCCGUUUCUCCUUCUUUCUCCGCCGACGUAGACGACGAGGAGGAUCUCAGCUUCCUCGAAGACCCCAAAGAAGAAGUCAAAGCUCUCUCUAAGCCACUUACCGACGACUUCGAAGGAGGAGAGGACGACGACGACGAUGACGGAGAACAUUUCUCCGAUCUAGCCAGCCCAGACUCCGGUCCCUUCCCGGCGCCGGGUGUCGACGAGAAAGACGUUGUGGUCAUCAAAGAGCGCAACUUCACAGACGUGAUCGAGAACAACGAAUACGUCAUGGUUGAGUUCUACGCUCCGUGGUGUGGUCAUUGCCAGUCUCUUGCUCCCGAGUACGCAGCAGCCGCGACGGAGCUUAAAGGGGACGGCGUCGUUUUGGCUAAAAUGGAUGCUACGGUGGAGAAUGAGCUCGCUCAUCAGUAUAGCGUUCAGGGCUUCCCGACGAUUCUCUUCUUCGUAGAUGGCGAGCACAAGCCUUACACCGGAGGAAGGACCAAGUAAGUCAUAAUCUCGAUUUUGAAACUAAAAAGUUUGAAUCUUUUUUUUUUUUUUGUGAUUUGUAUUCAAAGUUCAAAUCUUUAGUGUGAAUUGAAUUGAAACUUCAAAUUUUUAAUGUGAUUUGUUUGACCAAAAAAAAGUGAUUUGUAUUGGAAGUUCAAAUCUUACACUGGAGGCAGGACCAAGUAAGUGAAACUAAAGUUCAAAUCUUUAGUGUGAAUUGUAUUGAAAGUUCAGCUCUUUAGUGUGAUUUGAUUUGAAAGUUCAAAUCUUUAGUGUUUUUGUAUUGGAAGUUCAAAUCUUUGGUGUGAGUUGUAGUGAAAGUUUGAAUCUUUAGUGUUAUUUCUAUUAAAAGUUCAAAUCUUUAGUUUGAUCUUGUAUUAUAAGUUCAAAUGUUUAGUGUUUUUGUAUUGAAAGUUUGUAUCUUUAGUGUAAUUUGUAUUGAAAGUUCAAAUCUUUAGUGUGAGUUGUGUUGAAAGUUCAAAUCUUUUUUUAGUGUGAUUUGACUUGAAAGUUUGAAUCUUUAGUGUGAUUUGAUUUGUAAUUGAAAGUUUAAAUCUUUAGUAUAUGGAAAGGCCAUGGAAACAUGGUUCUUGCUUAGAUAAGUCUCCUCUGUGUUUGAUGUAAAACUAGAUCGUUUGGCUCAAGCAACAGUCACUGUUAACAAAUCUUUUUUUGGUUGAAUUAAUUUAACAUUCUUUCAAAAAAGAAAGAGGAAGUUCAAAUCUUCAGUGUGAAUUGUAUUGAAAGUUCAACUCUUUAGUGUAAAUUGUAUUACUUUGGCGUUUGUUGGAUUUGUUUAAAGGGCAAAUCUCCAAAAUAGCACAUUUCUAAGUUUAUAUCACAAAAAUAACACUCAAAAACUAAAAUGACCAAAAUAGCACUUUUCUAAGUUUAUCAUUUGAAAAUUUUAAUUUUUUUUAUUUUUCAAAAUUUGAAAUCUUAUCCCCAAAACCUCAUUUCUCAACUCUAAACCCUAAACCCUAAACUCUAAACCCUAAACCCUAAACCAUAAACCCUAAGCCCUAAACUCUAAACCCUAAACCCUAAAAUCUAAACCCUAAAAUCUAAACCCUAAACCCUAAACUCUAAACCAUAAACCCUAAACCCUAAAUCCUAAACUCCACUCUUUAACUCUAAACCCUAAGUUUGUGACUUUUGAUAAAACAUUAAGUGCUAUUUUUGUGACUUUUGAACUUGAGUGCUAGUUUGGGA